rnacentral:lncRNA from 1 species
UUCCAUCUUCAAGCUGCUUACCAGCAAAGAUAAGCCUCUGUUGAUCAGGAGGGAUACCCUCCUUAUCUUGAAUCUUAGCUUUCACAUUAUCAAUAGUAUCUGAACUCUCAACCUCCAAAGUAAUAGUUUUUCCAGUUAAAGUCUUAACAAAAAUUUGCAUUCCGCCUCUCAAUCUAAGCACCAAAUGAAGGGUAGAUUCCUUCUGGAUGUUAUAAUCAGCUAGGGUCCUUCCAUCUUCUAGUUGUUUCCCUGCAAAGAUAAGCCUCUGCUGAUCAGGAGGGAUACCCUCUUUGUCCUGUAUCUUGGCCUUGACAUUAUCAAUGGUAUCCGAGGAUUCAACCUCUAAGGUGAUGGUUUUUCCAGUCAAAGUCUUUACGAAUAUCUGCAUUCCACCUCUCAAUCUAAGCACCAAAUGAAGGGUAGAUUCCUUCUGGAUGUUAUAAUCAGCUAGGGUUCUUCCAUCCUCGAGUUGUUUCCCAGCAAAGAUAAGCCUCUGCUGAUCAGGAGGGAUUCCCUCUUUGUCUUGAAUCUUGGCCUUGACAUUAUCAAUUGUAUCUGAUGAUUCCACCUCAAGGGUGAUGGUUUUACCAGUCAAUGUUUUCACGAAGAUUUGCAUCUGUUUAAAUCAACAGAACAAAACAUCAGAAGCAGAAAUAGAAAUAACAAAUGAUUAUGAAAACCCUAAUUGAUCGGAAUUAGGAUAAUAAGGUACACCAUAAAUAGAAAAUUAAACAACUAAUUUGGCGAAAAAACUUCAAAUAAUCUAUGGCAGGUAAGAAAUCAAAAACACGAUCAAGUGAUAAAUUGAAUUGGAUCUUAUAUAUCAAAACCAACUUUUUCAACGAAAUUGAAACAGAACACCAAAAAUCAAAUCGGAAACCCUAAUUCAUCUAAAUAACAACAAAACUAACAACAAAUUUGGGGAAAAAGCUUCACAUCUAUAACAGAUCGUAGAUUAGAAACAAUAAUCAAUUGAAAAAUUGAAUUGACCUAAAUUCAAAAUCAUCCAGCACAGGAGAAACUGUUAAAAAAACAAACAAUAUUUAACAAUUUCGGAGGUAUUGAAUAGAAUCGAAACCCUACUCAUAUCAUGAAAUGGAAGAGAUAGAAAACGGAGACAUACCUUGAAUCGUAGAUAGAAAGAAGAAGAAAAGAGAGAGUUUAGGUUUUUCGAAUAUCGGAUUAGGAUCUGAUCAAUUGGUGAAAGAUGGUUACGAGAGGAAGUCGUAUUUAUCUGUUGGAUGUACCGAGUUAAUGACUAAAAUAGCCUCCGGUCUAUCUACCGACAGGUAUGUAACACGUAUAUUGUUUAGCUGGCUAAAUACCAUAAGUUUGGUCAACAAGCAUAUCUGAAAAAUUUCUCUCAAAAAAAAAAAAAAAAAAGCUAAAAUUUUACGUGUCUAAAAAUAUUGUUUAAGAAAUUCUGAAAAAAAAUUGAAAGAAUAUUUCAUGCGAAUGGUUAAUAUAAAAACAUCGCAAUUAUGUGGUGUUUGAUUAUAAGAUUUUUUUUUUAGAAAUAAUUAUAAGAUUGUUUUUUUUUUUUUGAAAAAAAAUAAUUAUAAGAUUGUUAGUAUGUUCAUUUUUUGUUGUCAAGUAGUCUAGUGGCUGGAGAAAUUCACAAGAUGAAUAAGUGGGUGUUCGGGGUUCGAACCCCAACCCACCCCUUCACACAUUGUGCAUUAUCCCUUAUCAAAUGAAUUAAGCUCAUGGGAACAACAUGGUCAUUUUUAAUAUGAUAUAAUUGUUGGUAUGGUCAUGAAUGACUUAUAUUAUUGGAACGCUCAACCACUCCUAUGUUUAUGAGAGAUUUUAAUUGCAACUUUAUUUUUAGGAUUUUUUUUUAGGCUUAAAUGUUCUUUUGGUCCCUCGUUUCUGUUAGGGUUUUAAAAAAAAGUUAACUCAUGGACACGUGUCACCUUGUCAUUGGUUAUGAGUUUUUUUUUUAUACAAAUUUUUUUUUUUUUUUUUUAAAUAUAUUUUUUUUUGUAAAAAAAAUAAAAUCUCAGAGCCAAUGACAAGGUGACACGUGUCCACACUUAACAUUUUUUUAUUAAAACUAACGGAAACCUAACCGAAGGGACCAAAACGAGACUAAAAAAAAACUUAAAAUCCUCAAACAAUCUUUUUUUUAGUUAAGGGACCAAAGCGGUACCAAUUAAAUAAUUAAGGGACCAAAAGAGCAUUUAAGCCUUUUUUUUUUAUUGGUUUUGUGUCAAUGUUGUUUUGGUGCUUUUUUGCGGUAGUUAGAGCAUUCAUAAUAGAGACACCUAUUUUUAGAUAUUUAAAUGAGUCUCACGUGUAGAUGAUUAAUUUAUAAUUUUUGAACAUUAGUAUCUAAUAAAUGCUCAAUCCCUCCAAACCAACCUUUUCACAAAAAUUUCUUUAAUGGGACCCACUAAUCAACUAUCAACAAUAACUUUAUACCAUUACAUUUCAAUUUUUUAAUAUUAAAAGAGUAUGAGUUCCAUUUAAGAUUGAAGGUCUUAAGUGAGACUCUACACCCUCCGAUAACUAAUAUAAGCAAAAUUUAAUAUUUUAUAUUAAUUUAAUAAAUGAUGUAUGUGAUCUAUAUUAAAGACUACAUAUAUCAUUUAUCGAAUGAAUCUAAAAUGUCAAAUUUUGCUUAUAAUAGUGACCAAAGAGUGUACGUCUUAUAAGACCUCGAAAAAAUUUCUCCGCAAUGGGAUACCUAACAGGUCCUGGAUCUUAAAUGUUGAAGAUCCUCCGAGUGGAGAUGGUCUUAACAAUGAUUGCACCCCUCUUUGUGCUUGGAUCAUUGCUUCAUUUACUUUAGAGUCUUGUUAACGAGUGCCUCCUGCACUCUUUAAGCAUUCUAAAUUAAGUAAUUAUUUUUAAAAAUGUCAAAGUUUUCGAUUUUGAAUGUACUGACUACACAAACUUUUAUAAAAAGUUGUCAUUUAAGGUCUGGGCACUAGUUAACAUUUCUCUUUAUUUUAUAAUACAUUUUUGACUUUUUUUUAAUAUAAAAAAAAAUCAUUUUUUCAAGGGUUUUAAACUUGAGCCAGAGAAACCUUCUUUAUUUGACACUCCCUCCGUUCUAAAUUAUAAGUUGCGAAAAAUUUAUCUUAAAUUAUAAGUUGUUUUAUAAUAUCAAUGAAACAUUAAUUAUUUUUUCUAUUACAGUCUUAACUUUUUAUUAUUUUAUCUUCUUUCAAUCAUUUAAUUUAUCUUUCCUAAACUAUUUAUUAAGAAUAAAACAACUCAUAAUAUCUUUUUCACAUACAAAAUUAAUUUUCCUUUUUAAUACGUGUCAAAUGGUCAAAACGACUUAGUACAUAGUGAAUAUCAAUUACCAUCCUGUUUUUGUCUCUAUAAAUGUGGCUUUUUAUGAACAUGUUUUUAGUUAUAAUAAUAACAUGUACAUAGUGAUAUUUCUUUUUUUUUUUGGUAGAUAGACGAAAUGGCAAAGCCAUUAUAAACUCACACACAUAAGUGGAGGUACCGGGGUUCGAACCCCGGUCAUGGCAUCCGGUCUAAUAAUUUCGACAUUUUGCCAGUUGAGCUAGGACUUCUGGAUCAUAGUGAUAUUUCUAUACAUGAUGAUAAUAUAAUGUUGACAAUUUACGGUUUUAUGACAGUUUCAUAAUACAAUCCACUUAUUAACAUACGCAUUCUCUUAAUAAAAUUGAUUCUUCUAAUUACAAUGAUUCUGAUGAUGCUCACUGUGUUGAAAUUCUGCAGAAGAUUGUCCUGAUGUUACAAAAAGUCAUUUAGGAUUAGACAUCCUCCUAAAAGAUUACUAUUGCAAUGCAGUUUUACAUUCGUAUAAUAAAAGUAUCAUGUAUCCUUUGCUAAUGUAUUAUGCUCUAAGGGACAAAAGUAUAAAACAUGCAACAGAUACAUUAUUGUACAAAAUCAUUAAUUUACCAAUGAUUCAAUGGAGUUUAUAGGUUUUUCAUUUAUCAGCUCAAUAAUAUGGCUAAGCAUUUGUUACAUACUUGAUUUGAACUGAUGAAUUUCCACUUCUACUGUGCAUCAUUUGCGCGUUUAAAUGUUCCAGAUCCUCCUUAAAUAUCCAAUGAUAACCACAAUUUUUGACCUCCAAAUGCAAACCAAGAGGCUGCUCAACUACAGCUACCAAUUCAAUACCACUAAUAUCAUGCAAUCCCUUCGUUAUACAAUUCAUAUAAUAAUUAAUAAAUUCUUCCUUAGUGAAAAAAGUUAACAAAGUACUACUAUGAAUUUCAAUUAUAAUAGUAAUUAACUUCAAUUCACAGCAAAUUUAUCGCAAUAGGGAUUCCCUUAUAAGCAUCAUGAAUUUCAAUUUCAUUAAAAGAUUCAAAUGCGUAAAAUGAGAUGAAUGAAUUGAUUACCUUAGUAGCAAUGGAGUGAGUGAGGAUAGUGCAGAGUUGGUCACCGACGUCAAACCUAAAUUUUUCUUAUUUUGUAACUGCAAGGUUCCAUGUGGAUAAAGAUACAAUGGAAUUUGAAAAAAUAUAUAAAUAAUUAACAGUGGUGGGACCCACUCUUUACUUUUUUUUGUGUCUAUCUCUCAUCAAAUGACAUUAUCCAUUUGUUUUAAGUAAAUGGAGAGGAUCUUAACUCAAUUUUACACCAUAAAACAAUCUAGACCACCGGUUUAGAUUGAAUGGCUCAAAGGAAAUCUCAUUCCUGAAAAGAUUGGUCUAACUUGGACCAUUUUUUUCUACCAUUAGACCGAAUCUUCUCACUAAAAUUACUCUCUCUCUCCCUCUCUCCAUUUUGGGUUGGAUCCGGGUGACUUUGAAUUUUAAAAAAGAUGACUUUGUUGACUUUGUCUUUCUAUCUCUUUCACAAUUGAUCAUUCUAUCUCUUUAUAAUUAACUUAACGGAAAUAAAGAUAUGCUAGUUGUUGUUAAAGAAGAAAUAAACAUUUUUCAACCCACUAUAAUGCAAAACAAAUGAGGAAUCAGAAGAAUAAAGUCUACACUCUGCACCACUGAAACAGAAAACAACUUCUGGCUUUUCACAACUUGUCGUUUAGGGGAUCUUCAUCCUUGACGCGUCAGGUUUUUCCAAAGUGUCUUUGAGAUUUGAAUUUUGCAGCCAUUCUUAUCCGAAGCAGGAAGUACCCCAGAUUUUUGACUCUGAAAACAAUGUCGAAAGUUAGAUCAAUGCAUUCAAUGAGUUCCACUAAUAGCUAAUGAAAAGGGUAAGUGUUUUACUCACUUCAUCUUCAUCAUCAGAGGGUUCAUGGUGGCUGUAACAAAAACAGUGAAAACAAAUAACAAUGAGCAGCUUAACAUAAUUGCAGAAUAAAAAUCUUAAACCCGUCUAUAAUCACACGCAUCUUCUGAAUUCCCCAAUAUGUCCCCACACGAAUUAUUCCCAGAUCAAAUCAAAAGAACUAAAUUAGGCUCAUAUAUGAAAAGAACAUAAUAUAAAAAACCUACUUCGCAUAUUAAGAAAUAAAAAAGUCCAUAGUUUUAAGAAAUAAAAAAGCAUAGAUGUUACUGAAAAGGAGUUUUAAGAAACUACGUUGAUAUAAAACAUAGAUUAAGGAAUUUUGAAUAGCUUUCAUGUCAAUCAAGUCAACAUUAAACUUUUGCUUAUGAUCUGAAGAAACUGGCCCAACAUAGACUUAGUACAUUUUGAAGAAUAAAUCAUUUUUAAAUACUAACCAAAUACUAGUUUUUGAACUCGAAGAGCUAUAACAACUAAUCCAAUAUUCUCAAACUCAACUCGCAUUAUGUUUUCGUGAAUUUAUUAAUUAUUUCAAUCAAACCUCUCACUUUCCACAAAGGAACCGAAACCCACGUCUAAGUGUCUGUCUCUAUGUCGAUUAAGUGUUCCAACAUCUAAGCACUAGCCUGAGCCAUGCUUAAGCAUACUGCCCAAAAGUUUCCUCUCCAUUAAGCAUUCGAUAAAUAAUUUAAUGUGAACGCAGGGUGGGGGAAUAAUGAACAAGUUUUCCUAAACUAAGAUUAAGAUGAAACCACCUAGCUGAAGUUUGAAAGAUAAGUUCUAGAUUCCUUUUGGGGUUAAAAAAAGCAGGUCAUGCUUUGGUAUGUCAGGUGUUAAAAGUAAGAAAAACCACUCUAAACAAUUAACAGUUCCAUUUCCAAGCCAACAGAGUUUGUCCAAUAAAACAAAUUGAUUCCGACUAGUCAUAGUAGUCUUAUUAGUGGAGCAAUUUAUUUCAUCAACCAUACUUUAAUAUUAUGGAAUGAAGUUAAAUUAGUAAAUUGAAAACCCCUUUAAAAAAAAAUGAAUGAAAGAAUUUAAGAAAGAAAGAUUUACCAUAACUUGAUGAUGUUGGAAUAAAAUGUGUUUCACAAUAAACCUUAAUGAAUUUUGAUGAUAACAAGGUAUUAAAAAUUGUCAAUUGGUUAUUGCUAAUACUUGUUCAAGUGUACAAGACCAUAGGCAAAGUCAAUCAAUUUCAAUAGGUUUUGGAAGAACAAUGGAGAGCAAAGGAAUCCAAAGCAUCUGAAUAAAACUGCGUCUGAAGCUAAGAAGUGCUUCUAAAGUAACAAGUGUCUCUGAAGUAAUGACAUCAUCAGAAGUAGAAGACCAUCAGAAGCAAGAUUUCAUCAGAAGCUAUAUCAUCACCAAAAGUUACAAGUGAUCAGUAAAUUUAAACUGAAUAUUCAAAGAAGCUGUUUUUCGUUUCAACCUCGUCUAAAAGAACGAAGAAUUGUAAAGGAGGUAUCAACGGUCAUUUGGAUAGCACUGAGUAUUUGUCCUUCGUUAACAGAGUUGACAAAGUACAAGUGUACAACCACUACCUCCACUACUCUGUUCUUGUCUACGCUACAAGACAAGACAACAGCUCUGCCUGCAGAAAUGUUCCUUCAAGAUGGGAAUGAAUUUGAAGUUGAUUUUUCAAAGGACUACACCCAAAUCAGGCAAAAGAUUACUGGUGGAUGAUCAAAGAAACUCAACGACUCUUUAGACGUGCUAAAAAAUCUCAACGUCUCUUUCACACCUCUAUAGUGAAGACUUGAAGAUUGGCAAGAGACAUCAACACAAGUUAAAAGCGCCAAAACUCUGCCAAAUUUGAUUCUACAAAGCACUUUGAAUUUCUGGACUGAUUUGAUACAUCUUAGAAAUUCUCAAGUCUAGAGUCUUUAUUGCAUUGUAUUGUGAACACCACUGAUUGUAUAUCAAGUGUUCAAAGUCAAACAUUUUCUCUGUAUUUUUGUUUGAAUAGAAGCCUCUCGCCUGCGUGCUUGAGCAUUAGAAGACUCUUGCUUUAGUGCUUGAGCAUUGGAAGUCUCUCGCCUGCGUGCUUGAGCAUUUUGAGAAGUCUCAUACUUAGAGAAUAUUGAGCAUUUGUAAUCUUUGAGAUUAUUAGUGGAAAUCUCCUUGGAAGUGCAAGGGGACUGGACUACUUCCGGUUUGUGGAAGGAACCAGGAUAAUUGCUUGUGUCUCUCUUUCUUUUCUCUGCUCUGUUUUAUUCCGCUGCAUAUCUGAUUCUGAACAUCACAUCAGAAGCAUUCCUAACCUGCUUCUGAAGUGUUAUCAGAAGAAGAAUUUUUAGAGAAAAAGAAAACACAAUUCAACCCCCCUUCUUGUGUUUUUCUCACCUUCAGAUGACACAACUUUCUGGGCCUAAAUCUUCCAAUUGGUUCCGGACAUCAUCCAACUUUUCUGCAUCAGCUGUUAAAUGUCUCGAACUGUGUAUCUUGAUGUCCCCUAAAUACUGGCAAUUUUUUAGCAUAAACGUAAGGAACUUGAUUUCAUAUUCAUCUCCAUAAAAAUUGAAAAUGCAUAGUCGAUUGAGAGAAGAUUUGAAACAGCAAGGCACUGAAUUCAACAUCAAAUCUUCACCACCCAAGUAGUUAUGUACCUAUUUAAGAACCACUAAAGUCAUUUGACAGAAAUAAUAUUAUUAAAGCCUUGAAAUUGGCAAAUAUAACCACAAGUGCUGAAUAUUAAACAUACCACCCCAGGAAUCUCAAGAACUUCCAGUUUAGGAGUCUUUCGGAGAAUGUCCAUUAGUACUUCACUAGUGUUCUCGGGAUGCGAAGAAAACACACCAAGAUGUGUCAAAUUGUAAAAUGUUGAAAGGAGAUUAAGAGUAUCCUUUCUAGGGUAAAAACACUAGUAAUGAUAAUAAAACUACGUUCAGUACUGUGAUAUAGAUAAAAUAUGCAAUGAUUAUAACAAACACGUAACUAAAGGUAACACUCCGAUUAGGUAUUAUCAUAUACAAUUUCAAAAAAGAACAUGAAGAUGAUGAGCAAACAUACCUGAAGAGUAGCAGCAGAUAGUUUGAGAGACUUGACAUUACUAAGUCCACUCAGUAGCUCAACUACACAUUGAGCAGCAUAAAGAUCAUAAGGUGGAAAGAGACCCCCAAGAUCAAUAGAUGCAUCAACUACGGAGGUAAGGUUAACAGGGAUAAAUUCUAUUGUUGGAUUGCAUCUGCAACUUAACGAUAAAAGAUUAACAGCAUCAAUCUGCAGUUUCAUAUCAUGAUCAUAACGAACACUAAAAUGCUCAAAUUUGAUUCUCAACUUCCGUAAUGUGGAAAUUGCAACACUGAUCUGCUUUAUGUUCUCCCAAUAACAAUUGUACCAUUCCAACUCUUGUAAGACAGAGCACCCAGAGAAAAGUCAUUGAACUGACUUCUCAUUAGCAAACAUAACAUCUGAAACUACUAAUUUCUUCAGGCUAGGGAAACAGAUACCACUAGGAAUAUGUAGAGUAAACAUAAGUCCUAAGCAAAGUUCAUUCAAUGAUUCAAAAGCUGAGAAACUGUGUGGUAACAUAAACUUAUUAUUUUCAUGACCUAGUGUAAGGUUAAGAUUUUGUACUUUGUGCUUCACAGCAGAAGCUAUUCUAGAACUAACUCUGUCAGUAUCAACAGUAGCUCUAUAUAUUUGAACAGUGAGCCUUUCUAUGCAAUUAGAUUUGUUCAUAUUGUUUUUGAAUUUCCAAACUGUUGUAUUUGGAUUUCCAAAUUCUAUUAUCUACCGAAGUUGUUACUAGGUUGAGUCACGACCAGGUCGCUCUCUUUAAGACGUUUCGUGGCACUGCCUAAAAUUGUGCAAGGCAGACUAUCAACCACGCCGCCUCCAGGAUAAAACAAGUCCAGCUACAACCGUGUGGUUAACUACUGCACUGUAGAAAACCGUUCGAGAAUUACACCCUCAAAUAUGGUACUAAGACCACUCUUUAAUACUGAAACCACUUUAAUAUGGUAUUGUUACCACUCUGUUAUGGUGCUGAGACCACUCAAAUAUGGUGAUUCUAACUUUAAGUUCUCCAAACUAUCAAUAUGAUACUACGACCACUCAAAUAUGGUGAUACCACCAUUUCUCCUCAAAUAAAAAAUAUUGAAAUACUUUUUAUAUAUAUCGUUAAGAUCAUUCUUAAUUCCGACGGGACAUUGUUCUUCCAAAUAGGGACUAUGAUCUUAAAAGUACUCUUUAUUCUGAAGGGACAUUUAUCGAAGGGACUAUGUUUUAAGACCAUUCUUAAUUCCGAAGGGACAUUAAACCGAAAAGCGACUAUGGUCUUAAGAACACUCUUAAAUCCGAAGGGACAGAAAAAGGAGAUGAAGAGAAGAAAGACUCGUCAACACAAGUCAAGAAAGGGAGAAGAGAGAAAGAGUUCCCGACAACUCAAUGAAACUCUUUGGUGUGUUUUUUGAACUGAGUGGAGUCCUCUAUUUAUAUAGAGAUUNNNNNNNNNNNNNNNNNNNNNNNNNNNNNNNNNNNNNNNNNNNNNNNNNNNNNNNNNNNNNNNNNNNNNNNNNNNNNNNNNNNNNNNNNNNNNNNNNNNNNNNNNNNNNNNNNNNNNNNNNNNNNNNNNNNNNNNNNNNNNNNNNNNNNNNNNNNNNNNNNNNNNNNNNNNNNNNNNNNNNNNNNNNNNNNNNNNNNNNNNNNNNNNNNNNNNNNNNNNNNNNNNNNNNNNNNNNNNNNNNNNNNNNNNNNNNNNNNNNNNNNNNNNNNNNNNNNNNNNNNNNNNNNNNNNNNNNNNNNNNNNNNNNNNNNNNNNNNNNNNNNNNNNNNNNNNNNNNNNNNNNNNNNNNNNNNNNNNNNNNNNNNNNNNNNNNNNNNNNNNNNNNNNNNNNNNNNNNNNNNNNNNNNNNNNNNNNNNNNNNNNNNNNNNNNNNNNNNNNNNNNNNNNNNNNNNNNNNNNNNNNNNNNNNNNNNNNNNNNNNNNNNNNNNNNNNNNNNNNNNNNNNNNNNNNNNNNNNNNNNNNNNNNNNNNNNNNNNNNNNNNNNNNNNNNNNNNNNNNNNNNNNNNNNNNNNNNNNNNNNNNNNNNNNNNNNNNNNNNNNNNNNNNNNNNNNNNNNNNNNNNNNNNNNNNNNNNNNNNNNNNNNNNNNNNNNNNNNNNNNNNNNNNNNNNNNNNNNNNNNNNNNNNNNNNNNNNNNNNNNNNNNNNNNNNNNNNNNNNNNNNNNNNNNNNNNNNNNNNNNNNNNNNNNNNNNNNNNNNNNNNNNNNNNNNNNNNNNNNNNNNNNNNNNNNNNNNNNNNNNNNNNNNNNNNNNNNNNNNNNNNNNNNNNNNNNNNNNNNNNNNNNNNNNNNNNNNNNNNNNNNNNNNNNNNNNNNNNNNNNNNNNNNNNNNNNNNNNNNNNNNNNNNNNNNNNNNNNNNNNNNNNNNNNNNNNNNNNNNNNNNNNNNNNNNNNNNNNNNNNNNNNNNNNNNNNNNNNNNNNNNNNNNNNNNNNNNNNNNNNNNNNNNNNNNNNNNNNNNNNNNNNNNNNNNNNNNNNNNNNNNNNNNNNNNNNNNNNNNNNNNNNNNNNNNNNNNNNNNNNNNNNNNNNNNNNNNNNNNNNNNNNNNNNNNNNNNNNNNNNNNNNNNNNNNNNNNNNNNNNNNNNNNNNNNNNNNNNNNNNNNNNNNNNNNNNNNNNNNNNNNNNNNNNNNNNNNNNNNNNNNNNNNNNNNNNNNNNNNNNNNNNNNNNNNNNNNNNNNNNNNNNNNNNNNNNNNNNNNNNNNNNNNNNNNNNNNNNNNNNNNNNNNNNNNNNNNNNNNNNNNNNNNNNNNNNNNNNNNNNNNNNNNNNNNNNNNNNNNNNNNNNNNNNNNNNNNNNNNNNNNNNNNNNNNNNNNNNNNNNNNNNNNNNNNNNNNNNNNNNNNNNNNNNNNNNNNNNNNNNNNNNNNNNNNNNNNNNNNNNNNNNNNNNNNNNNNNNNNNNNNNNNNNNNNNNNNNNNNNNNNNNNNNNNNNNNNNNNNNNNNNNNNNNNNNNNNNNNNNNNNNNNNNNNNNNNNNNNNNNNNNNNNNNNNNNNNNNNNNNNNNNNNNNNNNNNNNNNNNNNNNNNNNNNNNNNNNNNNNNNNNNNNNNNNNNNNNNNNNNNNNNNNNNNNNNNNNNNNNNNNNNNNNNNNNNNNNNNNNNNNNNNNNNNNNNNNNNNNNNNNNNNNNNNNNNNNNNNNNNNNNNNNNNNNNNNNNNNNNNNNNNNNNNNNNNNNNNNNNNNNNNNNNNNNNNNNNNNNNNNNNNNNNNNNNNNNNNNNNNNNNNNNNNNNNNNNNNNNNNNNNNNNNNNNNNNNNNNNNNNNNNNNNNNNNNNNNNNNNNNNNNNNNNNNAACUUUCACAUCCAUUUGGAGUACUAUCGAGUUAUGAACGGCGGCUAAAGGGACUAGUACUCUUAUGGAUAUGAUUCUAGUGACUGGUGAAUAAGUGUCGAAGAAGACUAUAUUUUUCUCUGUCUAAAACCUUUGACUACAAGGAGAGCCUUGUAUUCAUCAACCGUACCAUCAAGUUUUAGUUCUUUUUCCUAAAAUCCAAAUACAACCGGUAGUUUGCAACUAUGAGACAAGUCAACCAAGUGUCUUGUUUUUGUUAGACUCUAGAAAAUCCAUUUCAUCGUUUAUUGCUUCUUGCCAUAAUUCAGCAUCCAAUAAGGAUAUAGCUUCUUUAAGGCUUAAUGGAUAUUCUUCCAAUGUAUAAACCGAGUUCAUACUCUUUAGCUAUUCUAGCUUUCCUACCUCAUCAAGGUUCUAUAACAUCUAGUACGAUGUUUUCAUAACUAUUUUUGAUUACAUGAAUAUGAUCAGAUAUAGUGCCCCCACUAGUUCUUGAUUUUUAGAAGGAAAUUUAUUUUGCUCCCACUAGUGCCCCCACUAUUCUUUAGUUUAAAGGGGUAAAUAUUUACAUAGAAAUCAGCGUCUUUUAUAAUUCUAUGAUCACUUUAACAUUUAGGUCAUAAAACCUAUAUGUUUCGCUAUUUAUAGCAUACCCAAUGAAUAUACAUUCAUAGGCUCUACUAGUGAGUUUAACUCUCUUGGGGUCCAGAAUCUAAAUAUAGUACAGACAAUCCCAAGUUCAAAAAAUAAGAUAAGUUGGGUUGUCUUUUCUUCAAAAAUUUCUUAAUUAGAAUUUUUGUUCUUAGACUUGGGUACUCUAUAAAUUUCAAUUUUCAUUAUAAAAAUUGAACAUAUCAAGCAUAUCAAUUUUAUUUUCCAAAAUUCACAGUCAUCAAUAAAUAUGAUAAAAUAUCAUUUUAUCAUUUCUAGUUUAUGUGCCAUCAAGUUCACACAUAUCAUAAUCUAUUAUAUUUAGAGAUUCAUAUUCUCUAAAUUCUGAUUUAUAUGAACUUUUGGUUCAUAUAUCUUGACUGCAAUAAUUAAAAUUGUCUAAUCAUAUAACGUUGGAACUAAGUCCAAGUUACUCGAGUUUAAAAUUAAACGUUUGUUCACAUGUGAAAUAUUAAAAUCACAAAACUAAUAAAAUAGAAAGAGAAUUUUAAUUUUGAACCUACCAUUAAAGGUGCAACCUUCUCCCACAUACAUGCAUGAUACACAAGUCUUUCUUUAAGUCUGAGUCAACUCAGUCUUAUUCAGUAGAAAUCUGAAAUUCAGAUUCUUUCGUAUCUUUGUAUGAAACUUUUGGAACAAAUUUCUCAUGCAAUUUCUAUUCAUCAAAAAAUCUUUUUAAUUUGGUCCAUUCCUUCAUUUUUCAAUAUUCUCAUACAAAUAGAAAUUACCAUCUGGAUGGUAAAAGUUUCCUCAUGUUCCUCGAUACAUUCCAUAUAUCCAAUAAAUUAACUUUUGAUUAUCAUUAUACCAUUCUGUAGCUACUCCAUGAAGCAAACCGAUUUAUAUUCCACAACCAAAGUGGUUACUAGUUUCAUGGUGUUGAUUGCAUAAAUAACAAGCAGAGGAACAAUUAAUCCUUCUAUCAAGUAAAAAGGAUUAACUAGCAUUAUGUUAUGCAAAAUACACCAAACUAUACGGAUCUGUUGAGGGACAAUUUUCUAUCCACAAUUAACUCCACACUUUACAAAUAAAAGGGAUAUGUGAAUUUCAUACUGUUGUUGUUUAAAACAAGCACUUCGUUGUUUAAGUUGAAGGAUGUAAUUCUAUGACUUGAUUUAUCCUUCAUGUAUGUAGGGACAAUUGAAGCUCAACAAGUAACUUCUUCGGUAGACGUAGCAGAUUGAAACGUCUUAAAAUUGUUGUUUUUGAAUUUCCAAACUGUUGUAUUUGGAUUUCCAAAUUCUAUUAUCUACCGAAGUUGUUACUAGGUUGAGUCACGACCAGGUCGCUCUCUUUAAGACGUUUCGUGGCACUGCCCAAAAUUGUGCAAGACAGACUAUCAACCACGCCGCCUCCAGGAUAAAACAAGCCCAGCUACAACUGUGUGGUUAACUACUGCACUGUAGAAAACCGUUCGAGAAUUACACCCUCAAAUAUGGUACUAAGACCACUCUUUAAUACUGAAACCACUUUAAUAUGGUAUUGUAACCACUCUGUUAUGGUGCUGAGACCACUCAAAUAUGGUGAUUCUAACUUUAAGUUCUCCAAACUAUCAAUAUGGUACUACGACCACUCAAAUAUGGUGAUACCACACCAUUUCUCCUCAAAUAAAAAAUAUUGAAAUACUUUUUAUAUAUAUCGUUAAGAUCAUUCUUAAUUCCGACGGGACAUUGUUCUUCCAAAUAGGGACUAUGAUCUUAAAAGUACUCUUUAUUCUGAAGGGACAUUUAUCGAAGGGACUAUGUUUUAAGACCAUUCUUAAUUCCGAAGGGACAUUAAACCGAAAAGCGACUAUGGUCUUAAGAACACUCUUAAAUCCGAAGGGACAGAAAAAGGAGAUGAAGAGAAGAAAGACUCGUCAACACAAGUCAAGAAAGGGAGAAGAGAGAAAGAGUUUCCGACAACUCAAUGAAACUCUUUGGUGUGUUUUUUGAACUGAGUGGAGUCCUCUAUUUAUAUAGAGAUUCUGUAACUGUUUUAGCAAAAAUUGCGACAACAGUUACUCUAGUGGAUAAGAUUAAAAUGGAGUUUAUCCAUUAAUCAGUUCAACAACACUUGUGGAUAGGAUCAAAAGAAACAAAUCCACAAAAAUGGAGGAACCAAACUAUUGGAUUUGAAUGAAGGAAAUAUAAUAAUAAUUAAAUUAUUAUUCUUAUCACAACCACCAUAAGCUAAAUUUAUGGAAAGUGAUAUUCUCGAAUAAAAUAAUAAUUACUAUUAUUUUUAUCACUGUCAAGUAUUUAAAAUUAAAUACCACAAUUUAAACACUACUAAUGUGUGUGUUCUAUUUUAUGCGGGACCCCCACACUCUAUUUUUUCAAUUCACACAACAUUAGAUCAAAGUAUAAUUACUUGGUGUUUAAUCUUUCAAUUUUUCAUCCAACAUCACAUCAAUGUUCCAACAGUUCAGUAGUCUUCCAACUAGAUCUAAGAGGGCAAUUUGGCACGUUCUUCCGAAUUUUGUGGUUUGAGUCAUAUCGGGGAUAGGGAAUUUGAAAAUCAAAGACAGAUAAGUAGGUCCACAAAUACCUCCACUUCUUUGCUAACACGGAAGUUCUUACAACAUCUUCGAUAGGUAGUAAAGAAAGAAUAUGAAGAAGAACACCCUCAGGUAAAUCACUAAUUAUAUCGUUCAUGUCGCCCAAAAUUCGACGUUGGAUCUUAUGCACAUCUGUUGAUGACAUUGUACCAGCUAUGAUCUACGUCUGCCUGCCCAAUAUAAAAAAUUAUUAACAAUAAAAAUAUAUAGUGGUGAUUUGAAAUUUAGUAGGCAAGCUUUUAGUUUCAUAUAUAUCUGAUAAUCAAACACAGAGUAGUAUAUAUAAUAACAUGCCUCAAAUGUAAUGUGAGAAAAAAUAUUGAUAUUGAAAAAUAAUAAUUAUCAUGUUAUUAUAAUAUCAGAAAGAGAAAUGAUAUUUGUACAGUGACAACUUUUUGACAACUUUCUCUCUCAUACUCACAUUAUUAUCUUAUUCUCUUUCUUUCUUUUCCUCUCUCCAUUGUUUUUGACCAAUGAAAAGAGAGAAAAAAGAAAUUGUCACAAAAGUUGUAUCAAAUGGUUGUUCAAAUAUCACUACUCUAUCAGAAAUUGACAUUGAACAAAUUUAGGUCAAGAUCUUAGGUCUAUUGAGCAAAUUUAGUGAUUAGAAAUAAUGGUGCAAAUGUCGUUGGGGUUGAGAACACGUAGAGCUUAUGUAUGUGUUUGAUUUUAAUAUCUUGAGAAUACUGGUACUUUGUUUCCUAAAAUACUUUUUCAACAUUUCCUGUUGUCUGCCAUACUGAUUACUAGUACGAGAGUUUAUUUACUACCGCAAAACAAGGCUAGCAUGAAACUCGCUCUGUCAUAAAAUAUAUCAAGGAUAAUGAGGAUUUGACACAACUAUGGUCUCAAGGCGAAUAAAUUAUUUUUGUAAUGAUCAAUUGUCGUUGUAAACGAAGUCAUGUCAUUUUUUUAUGCUGAUCAGUCCAAUAGAAUGUAUUGAUGUAAAAGACAUUUUGGUAAACUGGCCUUUCGGUGUCUUCCAUUUAUAUGUAAUUUUUUGUAUAUAUUGAUUGAUUGAUAUGCAUAGUACAGCUCUUUAAAGUGUCUUGAAAAUCUUUAUAAAAUAAGCUAAACAUGACUUAACAAUGUAUUAUAAGCUAUUUUUAUAAUUUCUUCAGAGAGUUAAGAUCAAUUUCACUAAGCUCUUUCAUGGUAAAGCUAUAUCAUUCAACCACAAUUUGAACUUUUGAACCAAGUUAAAUUAGCAUUUGUAUAUCAAAUCAUAAGUUGAAUGCAUCCUAUAGUAAAAGGAGAAAGAAAACAAAAGAACAGUGAGAAGAAUUACUGAAACUUAAUAGCACAUUUUCUCAUGUCUAAAUCUUGCAAUUGGUUCUUUAUAUCUGCCAGCUUCUCGAAAUUUUGUGAUAAACAUGCAGACUAGAUAAUCUGAAUAGCGAAAUGGCACACCAAAAAAAAAGAAAAACACAAACUCUCAGAUACAAAUCCAAAUCCCAAAAGUCGCAACCAUAUAAGAAGGAAUCACACCAAUUAACUCACCAACAGCACUGAUAAAUGACAGCAGCCACUAUACCAAAAAAACCAUUAAAAUUACACCAAAAUGUCAGAAAACACAAUACCAGCUCCUCAAAUCUACACACUUCACUGCAUCACCACGGCUAAAAAUAAAACGAGCAUCUUAGCAAGUCUAAGCGAACACCACUUGAUAAGUUGACCAUCCACAAAAACAAGGCUCGGAUGAGUAAAUUCUAACUUUAAGGUCACACCACUAGAAAUGUCCAUCUACUAGACACAAUUGCAUAAGGUUGUACCUGAACUUGCAUGAAAAAUCACAGUACAGCAGCCACUAAAACACCAAAGCUGAUAAGAUACUAAGGGGACCAACUCUAGCACAAAACUACAAGCUACCGUCACCACUACCCAUCCGAAAGCUACCAAACACUUGCCAACGGACUCGGCUUCCAGCUCAGAACAACCAAGCUUUCAACACAUGCAAACACACCAAGGAUGGUAUUCUGUUUGUCUGUUUUGAAUAUUUUAUGUUUAUUCAUUGCGAAAUUCAACCUCUGAGUGCUACUAGCAUGACUAAAAUAAUCUAUUAAUUCUAAAAAACUAGGAAUGCUCCAUGAAAGGCUGUAAAGGUGUGGGAAGAGUUGCAAAAUUCAGGCAGACAACCAGUUUCCCCACCAGACAGUCCAAGGUGCCAAAAGAAUAUCUUUUUAGCGCAGUCAUUUUUUAUCGAAGGCAACUAUUCCCCAGUGUUUGAAACUCACAUGACACCAAAAUAUGUGAUUACAUUCAAUUAGUUCAUUUUCUCAAAUUAUUAUCGGUGAUGACCUAUCAAUGUCACUAUUGUAUUGUAUCCGAUGUACGACACAGUGUCAGUACUUCAUAAAAGAAAAUAAAAAUCUGCACAAAAAACCCUGUAUACAAAGGGUAUAAAUAUGGAUAAUAUCAACUAUUUGUACCAUUCACAAGAUAGUUCAAGUUAAUCAUAGUUAGCCAAUUCACUGAUGCAUAUAGAAACUCAAGUAUACAAACAUACAAAAAUGAAAAUACUCCAAAAAAAAGAAACUCAAGUAUACCAUGUCACUUUUAGUUGAAUAAAGUUAGAUGAGUAUCAGUACAUAAACCGAAUCCCAAUUCACAAAAAUCAAAAGGACAUAAAAAGUAAAGAUGGAUACAUAUCUGUGUAUGAAUUGAAGUGAAUCCCAUUAUCUAAAUGUAAUGACACAAUUUUUCAGACCUACAGCUUCCAAUUGGUUCCUGAUAUAUUUCUGCAUCUCCAAAUCAGCCAAUAAACUUUCUGAACAGAAUAUUUCGAUCUUUUCUAAAACUGAGGCCUUUUCUAACAAAAUCUUCAGCAACUCGAUUUUAGCUAUUUCUUCACCAAAAUAGGGAGUUGACAAAUUCACAUUGAGCAGCGUCAAAUUGCAGAAGCAAGGAAGGAGAUGUAGAGUAUCUUUUGUGUAUGAAAGACACUAUUAAAGGAAAAAAAAGACGAUUCAUUCUUGUGAUGCCGAGGAAAAAUGUAGUUUGAAUACUAAAGAACACAAAAUUAAAGGCAACAAAAGAUGAUAUAUGAUACAUACCUCAAGAGUAUCAAUUGUUAGGCUGAGAGACUCUACCCUAUGAAGUCCACUCAAUAGUUUUAUUUCAUGAGCAGCCGUAUAUAGAUAGUUUGAUGGAAAACCACUCUUGAAAUCAAUAUAUGCAUUAACUAUGGAGGUGAGGUUAACAAGAACAAAUUCAAAUGUUAAACAGCCUCUGCAACUGAAAGAUAAAAGAUUCUCCGCAUCAAUCUUGACUUUCGAAUUGACCAAAUAAUGUGCAUGAAAACGGGAAAAGGUUAUGCUCAAUUCCCUUAAGGUGGGCAUUACAACGCUGAUCUCUUCUAUGUUCUUCCAAUCACAACCAUGCAAGACUAACUUUCGGAGGAAAAUGCACUCAGAGAGAGGCCGUCGAAGUGAGUUGUCAUUUGCAAAGGUAACUAAUGAAAUCAUUAAUGUCUUCAAGCCAGAAAAACCCCAAGAGGGAAUAUAUAGAACACAUUUAAGUUCUAAACAUAGACUAUUCAGUGACGCACUUGAGAAAGUAAUUGGUAAUAUAAAUGGAUUAGACUUUAAAUCCAGGGAAAUAUUGAGCUCUUGAACUUUGUCCAGCUCUGCAGCAUAUAGAAAACAUUGAAAUUUGGCUCGAUCAACAGUAACUCCACUACCAUCCAUUGCAAUACGGAGCCUAAUUGCAGUCCUACUAGACCUCUUAAGUAGUCUGUGAACUAGAUGAAAGAGUUGAUUGGUUGGCCUGUCAAAAUUAAAUGCAGAUAAGUCGAUCCACAAAGACUUCCACCUUCUUGCUAAUAUGGAAGUUCCUACGGCAUCUUUGGCAGGGAGUAACGAAAGAAUGUGAUGAAGAAUUUCAUCAGGUAAAUUGCUGAUGAAAUCUUUUCCGUCGCCUACAUUGUAUAUUUUUAUUGUCCCAGUACCAGCCAUAUCAGUGCUGCCUACCCAAAAAAUAACAAAAACAAUAUAAGGAUUGCGAAGUAUCAAUUGUCAACAAUCUGAAAUAUCCAUCAGUUACACAUUACUGUUAAUAACUAUUUCACCAGAUAACAUGCGAACUAUACUUCUUACGUUUCCUUCUCCAAGCUUCUUGCCCGCAAAGAUUUACUAAUACCCACAAAAAGUAGUGAUUGAAAAUACAUCAAAUUUGACGAAAUAGACAAUGCCAAAAACUACUUGGUCGAAAGAAUGUAAAAUCAAAACAGAAUAUAAGAGAAACAAAAUAAAAAGCAAACAAAGCAAAGCCAUGCAUCAAGAACAUUAUGAACAUCAAGAAAACAUUCUUCCUGUCAAAAUAAAAUGAAAUCACCAGAAUUGCUGUCUUUUCAAAUAAACCAUGACAAGUUUCAGAAAGCAAAACCAAGAUAAAAAUAUGAUUUUUAAUCACCAAAAAUAAGAUAUUGUUUCAUCAAUGCAUGAUUCAUUAUUCUACUUGUUCGUUCUUGUGAUAAAGAUCAAUUGUGAUCAACAACAAAGAAUUUAAACGAUAUGCAUCAUAACAAAUUAACCAAAUGUAACACACAACUCAUUAUUCUAAUUAAUAAAUGCGAGUUUAUUAAAUGCAUCAAACCUGCUUGUUCGUCCUUGUGAUGAAGCCACCGCCGCCGCAAAUGUGAAGCAAAGAAUUGAAGCUGAAGCUGUGAAUUGAGGUGAAUCUUCAAAGAGGGAAAGAAAACGGUUUAUUUCUUUCUUUGUCUUUUUGGCAACGUUACUCAACUGAACUGAAGAAGAGGGAAAAUGAAAAAAUGCCUCUCUUUUUUUUUCCACAUAUUUGGUCAAUGGUCUUUGUUUUAUUUAAAUAACAAUAUAUUUUAAUAUUUUACUAACAUCUAAUUAACCUGGAUAUUAGACAAAAUUGAAAAUAUGAACUGACUCUGCUAGUAUAAAAAUAAAAUAAUCCAACACAUCGACAAUAAAUAUGUGUCAAGUUUAAAAUAAUUCAAGAUUAAAAUAAUUAGACUAUUUUUUCAAAAGAGAUUAUUAUAAUAUUCUAAACAUUCUUCAAAAUUUACAUUCAAAAAUACGAAGACUACAUAUAAGUUGACUUAAAAAUAUAGACCAAAAGUGACGAUUAAAUUUAUUGAAAGAUUAACGGUCAGGUGAAAAUUUAUGUAGACUAAACAAAAAAGUUAAUAUAUUUAUAGAGAAAAAAAAACAUUUAUAUAUGAUUUUAUAAGUUAGUCAAGCUUACAUGACAUUUAUAUGUAGUAUUUUCUUAUUGUUUUCCUAUGAUAUAUGUACAUGUAAAUUUUUUUCUUUUGAACCAUAUACUUCUUCCACCGUCAUAAAAUGUAAGUAAAAAAAUUCACUUUGUCGCAAAAAUGUAAGCAAAAAGGACAAACUUUAUCUUAUUUAUUUUUUUUUUAAAGAAAAACUUUUGUUUAUUCUAAUGAAAUUAAAUACAAACUGCAUUCAAUUUUCUCUCUUCCAUUUCUCCAUAACAAUAGCCAAUGAAAAUUAUUUUUACAUAUAAAACUUAUUCCAAAGAAAACACAAAAAACUAUACUCUAAAUUCUUAAACUCUCCGGUCACUAUUAUAAGCAAAACACCAUUUUUUAGAUUCAUUCAAUAAAUGGUACAUGUGGCCUACAUAAUAGACUACAUUCAUCAUUUAUUAAAUGAACCUAAAAAAUAAAUUUUUGUUUAUAAUAAUGAUCAGGGUGUAUGUUUUAGUUUUCUUUGAUUUGAUAUUAUUUUUUUCAAAGAAACUACAUGUAAAGUUACUAAAAAAGAUUGUGUUAACUUUUGUUCAUGGUAUUUUGUUAUGAGUGUGGAAUGCCCAAUUGAUAAAAGUGGUGAAAAUGAUGGCAAAUAAGAAAGGAUUGAGACGUAGCUACAGGAUCAAAGGGAAUCAUCCAAUGUGGUCCCAGUUUGUUAGUAAAUGAAGGGAUAUUAAGUAGUGGUAGUAGAAUGAAUGUGGUGUGCAUUUUUGUGUGAUAUCACUUUCUCUCUCUUGCCUUAUUUUCUCUACUCUACCUUAUCUUUCUUUUCAUUGUACUGGCUUGUUAGCCAUUUACAGUAUUUUUCUGUUAAGUGAAUUGAAUGAAAUCAGUGGACAAGCAAUACUCCAUUUAAUUGCUUGAUUCUUAUUAAUAUUGCAAUUUUUGUUCUGAUAUCACAUAACAUUGGUGCUUUCAUUCUUCCAUGGCCGACAACACAAGAUUGAAGGAAUUGACCACCGAGUUACGUCGUCAAGCGGAAGCGCAAGAGAAAUCCAACGUCGAAAACAAAGCGAGAUUCGAUCGAUUGGAGGCGAUGCAGACAGCUUCAGAUCUGAGAUUCAACCAACUUUCUGCAACACUUGAGAGGUUUAUGCAGCAAGCACCACAACACAAUGUCUCCCAUGGAAACACGAACUCAGGCUCAAGCUCUAGUGUGAUUUCUGCAACAGUUGUAUGUUCACAUUCAACAUUUGUGGGUCAUACUCAAUCAUCAGUGGUGGGAAAGCAAUCGACUUCAAGUAUGAGCUCUCAACCGUUUCAGGUGCGUCAUAUUAAGCUGGAGUUUCCAAGAUUCAAUGGUAAGCAUGUCUUAGAUUGGAUUUUUAAAGCUGAGCAAUUUUUUGGUUACUAUAAUACUCCAGAUGCAGAGAGAUUAAUUAUUGCUUCAGUUCAUUUAGAACAAGAAGUAGUUCCUUGGUUUCAAAUGGUGAAUAGAUCUCGUCCAUUUCAGUCUUGGAAUGAUUUCACUAGGGCUCUUGAACUUGAUUUCGGUCCUUCUAUAUAUGAUUGUCCUAGAGCAUCUUUGUUCAAAUUGCAACAAAACAAAUCUGUUAACGAGUAUUAUUUGGAAUUUACAGCUCUCUCUAACCGUGUUUAUGGUCUCAGCAAUGAUGCUUUAAUUGAUUGUUUUGUUAGUGGACUUAAAGAUGAAUUACGCAGAGAUGUCAUGCUUCACACUCCUAUUUCUAUUGUUAAGGCUGUGUCAUUAGCAAAACUGUUUGAGGAGAAAAUUGCUGCUAACUUCAAUCCAAAACAACCAUUAAAACCAUAUACACCAGCCCAACCUCACCAACAUCGAGCCCCCUUCAAUCCAACCAGAAACGAUCAAAAUCAAACUAUUGAAAAAGCCCCCAACCUACCCUUACUCCCUACACCACCAACGAGACCUAUGAGCCACCUUCAAAAGAACCCUGCAAUUAAGAGAAUUUCACCUGCAGAGAUGCAAUUGAGAAGAGAGAAGGGCCUAUGCUAUUUUUGCGAUGAUAAGUUUUCAUUUUCUCACAAGUGUCCUAACAAACAAUUGAUGCUACUUGAAUUAGAUGAUGACCCUGAUCCUCCUAAUACACCUAGCCAAACAGCAGUGACCAGUGACACAGAAAUACAAGAAGUAGCAGAGCACCAUUUAUCCCUUAAUGCUUUAAAGGGAGCAACAGGGAUGGGAGUAAUUCGAUUCAAGGGAUACAUUGGUCCUAUUAGUGUAUCUAUUUUACUUGAUGGAGGUAGUUCAGAGAGUUUCAUUCAACCUAGAAUUGUUCAUUGUCUCAAUUUACCUAUUGAACAUACUGACAAAUGUAAUGUCCUGGUUGGUAAUGGUCAACACAUGAAAGCAGAAGGUGUGGUUAGAAAGCUGUCAUUAAAAGUGCAGGACAUAGACAUCACAGUCCCUGCUUAUUUGCUACCUGUAGCAGGAUCUGAUGUGAUCCUAGGAGCUCCUUGGUUGGCUUCUUUAGGGCCUCAUGUAGCUGAUUAUUCUAUAUCCAAAUUGAAGUUUUAUAUGGAUGGCAAGUUUGUGACGUUGCAAGGGGAAAGUGACAACAAACCUGCAGUGUCCCAAUUGAAUCAUUUUAGAAGGCUACAACAUAUGAACGCAAUUUCUGAGUUAUUCACCAUACAAAAAAUUGAUCCUGCUGUUAUAGAAGAUAAUUGGGAAGGCAUGCCAGUGAAUAUUGAACCAGAAAUGGCCACCUUGUUGCAUACUUAUAGAGAGAUAUUUCAAAUACCCAAAGGAUUGCCUCCUAACAGAGAGUUGAGCCAUGAGAUUUUGUUGAAAGAAGGAGCACAACCAGUGAAGGUGAAGCCUUAUAGAUAUCCGCAUAGUCAAAAGGAACAAAUCGAAAAAAUGGUGCAGGAUAUGUUAGAGGAAGGAAUUAUUCAACCUAGUUUGAGUCCUUUUUCUUCACCAAUCAUUCUAGUAAAGAAGAAGGAUGGGACAUGGAGAUGUUGCACAGAUUAUAGAGCUUUGAACGCCAUAACAAUCAAGGACAGUUUUCCUAUGCCCACUGUGGAUGAACUACUUGAUGAAUUACAUGGUGCACAAUACUUUACAAAGCUUGAUUUGCGUUCGGGAUACCAUCAAAUUCUCCUCAAGCCUGAAGAUAGACAGAAAACAGCAUUCAGAACUCAUCAAGGUCACUAUGAGUGGCUGGUGAUGCCAUUUGGGCUCACAAGUGCCCCUGCUACAUUUCAAAGACUCAUGAAUCAAUUGUUUCAACCACUGUUGAGAAAAUGUGUUCUGGUUUUUUUCGAUGACAUUUUGGUUUACAGUCCAUCUUGAUAUUCUCACUUGAAACAUGUGGAAAUUGUAUUUCAGAUAUUAAGCCAAAAUGUGUUGUAUGCAAAGCUAUCUAAAUGCUCAUUUGGGAUAACCGAAGUUGAAUAUUUGGGCCAUGUAGUGUCUGGUUCUGGUGUGGCAAUGGACAAGACUAAAGUGAUAGCUGUGUUGGAAUGGCCUACUCCAACGAAUUUGAAACAAUUGAGGGGAUUCUUGGGACUCACUGGCUACUAUAGAAGAUUUAUCAGAUCUUACGCUACUAUAGCUGGUCCCUUAACAAAUUUGUUAAAAAAAGAUGCAUUUAAGUGGGAUGAAAAUACUGCCAAAGCUUUUGACACAUUAAAGCAAGCUAUUACUACAGCACCGGUGCUUGUGUUGCCUGAUUUCUCUCAACCCUUUGUGUUGGAAACAGAUGCCUCUGGUACAGGGGUAGGAGCUGUACUAAGUCAGGGAGGUCAUCCCAUAGCUUAUUUCUCCAAAAAAAUGGCACCUAGGAUGCAACUUCAGUCAGCUUACACCAGAGAAUUCUAUGCUAUCACCACUGCCUUAGCCAAGUUCAGACACUAUCUCCUUGGACAUAAAUUCAUACUGAGAACUGAUCAAAAAAGUUUGAAAAGCUUGUUGGAUCAAUCUCUCCAAACCCCUGAACAACAAGCUUGGCUUCACAAAUUCAUUGGAUUUGAUUUCCAAAUCGAAUAUAAACCAGGUAAGGACAAUCAAGCAGCCGAUGCUCUGUCAAGAGUAAUGUCUCUUUCAUGGUCUGCACCUGAACAUGAUUUUUUAGAGCAAUUGAAGAAAGAAAUUGUCAAUGACUCCCACUUGCAAACAAUAGUACAACAGUGCUUAGACAAUACUAUGGAUGACAUAAAUUAUAUGGUGAAAGAAGGGUUAUUGUACUGGAAGCAUAGGUUGGUAAUUCCUAUGGAGAGUAAUUUGAUUCAUCAGAUUCUCAAGGAAUACCAUGAUACACCAAUCGGAGGGCAUGCAGGGGUGACUAGAACCUUAGCAAGAGUUACUGCCCAAUUUUAUUGGCCAAAUAUGAGGCAGCAUAUACAGAAGUUUAUUGAAGCAUGUGUCACUUGUCAGCAGGCUAAAUCUGUUAAUACAACUUAUGCAGGGCUACUUCAACCAUUGCCUAUUCCGGAGCAGGUAUGUGAUGAUGUAACUAUGGAUUUUAUUACUGGAUUGCCACUAUCUUUUGGUUUUACUGUUAUUAUGGUCGUCGUAGAUAGGCUGAGUAAAUAUGCUCAUUUCAUGCCCUUGAAAGCCGAUUAUUCAAGUAGGACUGUUGCUGAGGCAUUUAUGAAUAAUGUAGUAAAAUUACACGGAAUGCCUAAGUCAAUUAUCUCUGAUAGAGACAAGGUAUUUACCAGCAAAUUCUGGCAGCAUUUGUUUCAAAUGCAAGGCACAACAUUGUCCAUGAGCACAGCUUAUCAUCCUCAAACGGAUGGACAAUCAGAAGCUGUUAAUAAAUGUCUCGAAAUGUACCUGAGAUGCUUCACAUUCAAGAAUCCUAAGACAUGGUUUAAGGCACUUACUUGGGCAGAACUAUGGUAUAACACUUCCUUACAUACUAGUUUAGGUAUGUUUCCAUUUAAGGCACUAUAUGGCAGGGAACCCCCUAUGUUAACACGUUAUAGUGUUAAUAAUUCUGAUCCCACAGAGGUACAACAACAGUUAAUGGACAGAGACAAGCUACUGGUUGAGUUAAAAGAAAAUUUACUGAGAGCACAACAGGUUAUGAAGAGCAAUGCUGACAAAAAGAGAAAAGAUGCGUCUUUUGAAGUAGGGGAUCAAGUGUUAGUGAAAUUACAACCAUACAGGCAGUCUUCUGUAGCAUUGAGAAAGAACAACAAACUAGGCAUGAGGUACUUUGGUCCAUUUACUGUGAUAGCCAAAGUAGGAGUAGUAGCUUAUAAGUUACAAUUGCCUGAGACAGCUCGUAUUCAUCCGGUCUUCCAUGUGUCCCAAUUGAAGAUCUUCAAGGGUCUCACUGCUGAGCCAUAUUUUCCUUUACCACUUACCACAAUGGAAGAAGGUCCUGUCAUACAGCCGGAAGUGAUAUUGAAAUGGAAGGAUAUGCAGAACAGUGAAGCUACUUGGGAAGACAAGCAAGAGAUGUUGGAUAGCUACCCCAAUCUCAAUCUUGAGGACAAGAUUGUUCUUGAAGGGGAGGGUAAUGUUAUGAGUGUGGAAUGCCCAAUUGAUAAAAGUGGUGCAAAUGAUGACAUGGCAAAUAAGAAAGGAUUGAGACGUAGCUACAGGAUCAAAGGGAAUCAUCCAAUGUGGUCCCAGUUUGUUAGUAAAUGAAGGGAUAUUAAGUAGUGGUAGUAGAAUGAAUGUGGUGUGCAUUUUUGUGUGAUAUCACUUUCUCUCUCUUGCCUUAUUUUCUCUACUCUACCUUAUCUUUCUAUUCAUUGUACUGGCUUGUUAGCCAUUUACAGUAUUUUUCUGUUAAGUGAAUUGAAUGAAAUCAGUGGACAAGCAAUACUCCAUUUAAUUGCUUGAUUCUUAUUAAUAUUGCAAUUUUUAUUCUGAUAUCACAUAACAUAUUUUUCGUGAACAAAAUUCAGAACAUUAUAUGGAACGACGAUAUUAAAAUAUUUAAAAGGAUGUUGAUAGUGUUAGUUUGUUUUUAAUUCAAGUUUGUAAGUGAUUUAAUCACGUUAGUUGGUUAAUCACAUUUACUUUUACUUUUAGUUUGUUACUUGGUUAGCUACAAGUCUCCUUAAAAGUAACUUAAGGUUGUUAGGGUUUGUUAUUUGCUUGUAUUUCAAGCAACUUAUACUAGACUUGUAUAUAAGACCAUUAUCUUGUAUAUUCAUCAGUAAUUCAAUAAUACAAUUACAUUCUUCAAUUCUAUAAUCUUCUCUUCUCUCUAAUUCACCAAAACCCUAGAAUUGAAAAACUAUUUCUGAUUUCUAUUGCUUGUGUGACAAGCAUUGAUUUGCUGCGCUAGAAGAUUGGACAUAAGCUCAUGUCGAUUAUGUUGAUUGAGUUGAUUAUUUAUCUCAACCAAUUUAUAAGUUAUAACAUGUUAUUUUAAGUCGUUCCAAAACAACCUUAAAAAAUCUGACAUACUAAGACAAAAAUAUUUAAUCACUUCUCUUGCAUCAUCAAAAUAUUUGCUUGGUGACGCAAUUUCUUUGGAUGGUAUACUUAGAUUAUGAUGAUAGGAUGAUAACAACAAAAAAUGCUCAAGUUUUUGAUGAAAAUAAAACUAACUAUUCAUCCAAAUCCAAACACUUCAAAGUCUGAUUCUAUAUACCAUUUAUAAGUGUUUCAUCCCCUAAAAGCACAUUCACAAAUCAAAUCAUACACGAUUUAAUACUGCAAAAUAGAUAACUUGGGCAAAUAGCAAAUUUUAAAAAACAAAAAAGCAAAAUCACACAGGAGGAAGUCAAAAUAAACCAGAAAAGAAAAGCCAUGAAAUUUCAAUAUUUCUUAACACAUACUGAAGGGACUGGACAGCAACCUAAACAUCAUUUAUUAGACAACCACAGUAACACAGACAACAUACAUACUAAAGGGACACACUUAGUAGCCACCACGGAGGCGAAGAACAAGAUGCAGGGUAGAUUCUUUCUGAAUAUUGUAAUCUGCCAAAGUACGACCAUCCUCCAACUGCUUGCCAGCAAAAAUAAGCCUUUGCUGGUCUGGUGGAAUACCCUCCUUAUCCUGUAUCUUCGCUUUCACGUUAUCAAUCGUAUCAGAGCUUUCCACCUCCAAGGUAAUAGUCUUCCCGGUAAGAGUCUUCACAAAUAUUUGCAUCCCACCUCGAAGCCUCAAAACCAAAUGCAGAGUAGAUUCUUUCUGGAUAUUAUAAUCAGCCAGAGUACGGCCAUCUUCCAACUGCUUGCCCGCGAAAAUUAGCCUCUGCUGGUCUGGAGGAAUGCCCUCUUUGUCCUGAAUCUUUGCUUUCACGUUGUCAAUUGUAUCAGAACUUUCAACCUCCAAAGUUAUUGUCUUUCCGGUAAGAGUCUUCACAAAAAUCUGCAUACCACCACGAAGCCUCAAAACCAAAUGGAGGGUCGAUUCCUUUUGAAUGUUAUAAUCAGCAAGGGUCCUUCCAUCUUCAAGCUGCUUACCAGCAAAGAUAAGCCUCUGCUGAUCGGGAGGGAUACCCUCCUUAUCUUGAAUCUUAGCUUUCACAUUAUCAAUAGUAUCUGAACUCUCAACCUCCAAAGUAAUAGUUUUUCCGGUAAGGGUCUUUACAAAAAUUUGCAUACCACCACGAAGCCGCAAAACCAAAUGCAGAGUGGAUUCCUUUUGGAUAUUAUAAUCAGCAAGGGUCCUUCCAUCUUCAAGUUGUUUCCCUGCAAAGAUAAGUCUCUGCUGAUCAGGAGGGAUGCCUUCCUUAUCCUGAAUCUUAGCUUUCACAUUAUCAAUAGUAUCUGAACUCUCAACCUCCAAAGUAAUAGUUUUUCCGGUAAGGGUCUUUACAAAAAUUUGCAUACCACCACGAAGCCGCAAAACCAAAUGAAGGGUGGACUCCUUUUGAAUGUUGUAAUCAGCGAGCGUGCGCCCGUCUUCCAAUUGCUUACCGGCGAAGAUAAGCCUCUGCUGAUCUGGAGGGAUACCCUCCUUAUCUUGAAUCUUAGCUUUCACAUUAUCAAUAGUAUCUGAACUCUCCACCUCCAAAGUAAUAGUCUUUCCAGUCAAAGUCUUUACAAAAAUCUGCAUUCCACCUCUUAAUCUAAGCACCAGAUGAAGGGUAGAUUCCUUCUGGAUGUUAUAAUCAGCUAGGGUUCUUCCAUCCUCGAGCUGUUUCCCUGCAAAGAUAAGCCUCUGCUGAUCAGGAGGGAUACCCUCUUUGUCUUGGAUCUUGGCCUUGACAUUAUCAAUUGUAUCAGAUGAUUCAACCUCAAGGGUGAUUGUUUUUCCGGUCAAUGUCUUCACAAAUAUCUGCAUGCCACCUCUCAAUCGCAGCACAAGGUGAAGGGUGGAUUCCUUUUGGAUGUUGUAAUCCGCAAGGGUGCGGCCAUCUUCCAAUUGUUUACCAGCAAAUAUAAGCCUUUGCUGAUCGGGAGGAAUACCUUCCUUGUCUUGAAUCUUAGCUUUAACGUUGUCUAUGGUAUCAGAACUCUCCACCUCGAGGGUGAUAGUUUUGCCAGUCAAUGUUUUCACAAAGAUUUGCAUCUGUUCAAAUCAAUCAUAUCAUAAACAGUACGCAAUAAAUCAUAUUUCAAACCCUACUCAACUAAAAUAGGGACAAAUCGAUACAAUAGAAAAUAUGAAACUAAGCAACUAAUUUGACGAAAAACAUCACAAAACCUAUGGCAGGCCACAAAUCCGAAACGCAAACCCUAAUUGAUUGAAAUAGGGGCAAAUUGGUACACAGAAUAUAGAAAAUUUAACAAUUUAUUGGGGAAAAGCUUCCUAUCUAUAGCAAAUCACGAAUCAGAGAAAAUUGAAUUGAUCCAUAAAUCAAAACCACAUUGAAAAUUGUUCAAAAAUUCACAAUAAUGAAACCCGCGUGUACACAGAACAUAGAAAAAUUUACAAUUUAUUGGGGAACAGCUUUCUAUCUUCUAUAACAAAUCACGAAUCAGUGAAAAUUUAAUCGAUCUAGCACAGUGAAAAUUAUUCAAAAAUUCACAAUAAUGAAACCCUCAUGUAAUAAUAGAAUCGAAUUGAUCUAUGAAUCAAAACCACACAAAUUGAAACCCGAAUACUAAUAAAACCGAAAAAAUAUUGUGAAUGGAUGAGGAAGAGAUAGAUAGAUACCUUGAAUGAAUCGUAGAAUUGUCGAAGAAGAAAGAAAAGAGCGUUUGGAAAUUUUGCUUUGCAAGCAAAUAGGUAAGGAUGAAAACAAUGGAUGAAGGUUGCUGUAUUUAUAUGAAGGUUGUGUCGACUCAAUUACGAAAAUAGCCUCCUAUCUACCGGUAAUUUUAAGCCACGUGUAAAAUCAAGUUGAUCAACUACGACAAUUUUGGUACUACGUAUGCGAUUACGUUUCUGUAAGGCUCUAGGAGAUUCUACACAACUUUUUGAAAAUUGUUUUGUUUUUUCUCAUUCUCACCUCAAACUUUUUAAAACUCCUCAAAUUAACUCACGAUUUGACUCCAACGUGAAUUAUCUUGCGUUGAUUUUAAGUAAGUUAAUAAAUCAACAAUUUCGGAGAGAGACGUUGUUUUUUAAGUCUCUAAACAUGGUUUUUUUAGAUUACUCUAUCUUAUUUAGAAGGUAUUUAUCCUCUCAUGAUAUCAACCAAUUAAAAUGUAAUAUACAUUGGCUACAUUAAAUGUCAUAAAUGAGUUAAUUUUUCAUUAAAAAAUAAUAAUUAUAAUCAUAAUUUUUUAAUAUUAUAGACAUGAUUACAUUAGAGGUCAUUUAUCUUAUUUAUUUGUUACACUUUGGUCCUUUAUAAAACACAUAUUUCUCAUUUUUUUAUUAAAAAAAUACAUAAUUUUUUUUUAAAUAUAUUUUUAUUAAAAAUGAAAAAAAUCAAGAAAUAUGAUGAAGAUGUUCAUCAUCUUCAUCUUCUUCCUUUGAAUCUUCAUCAUCUUCAUUGAAUAAAAAAAAAUAUACACAAAUAUAUCUCCAAAUAUCAUGAAUUAAUGUUAUAUUCACCUCAAAUCUUCUUUUGAACACAAAAAUCAAAACCCUGUAAAGAAAGAGAUUUAGCAGUCAACCGAAACUAUGAUGAAUUGGCCUGCUACUCGGAUUCCCUUCUCACAGUUAAUCUCAUUAAGGAAGAUUUAAAUCAUUACCAUGUCUAUGCUAUGCUUAUUCAGAACAUCAAAGAUAUUCUCAGCUCAAGAAGUUUCACUCUGCAACAUUCUCUCAGAGAAGGUAACAAGUGUGCAGAUUUUCUUAGCAAAGAUUGAAGCCUCAAAAAAUGAAAAAUUGGAGAUUCACUCUUCCCCUCUGGAGGGCCUCCUCCCUCUGCUGCUGGAGGAUGCAGUAGGAACGCUUUUCUUAAGGCGUUAGCCUAGAUACUUAUGUUUUUUCCCUUCUGUUUUAUCUUGUAUUUUUUCUACUUUGUUCACCAUUGUAACAAAAAAAAAAGAGAUUUAGUUUCAUCAAAAAAAAAAAAUUAGUUAUAUAAAUUGUCACGCCGUAUAUUAUUAUUUUCUAACUCAAUAUUCAAACCCGGCGUAAAAAUAACCCUAAAAUUGAGAGCAGAUUUGCACAUCAAUUUUGUUGUUUCCAGAACAAUUUUCACUUUCGUAAAGCCUAACCCUUCCGUCAGUUAUAGCUGUCAAAACGGGUCGGGCCAGCCCGCAAAAACCCGAAAAAAUGUAUGACUUGGACACUAAAAUUUAGGCCCGUUUAAAAUCGGACCUUUUUAGCCAGAGCCCGUCGCGGGCUAGCCCGACCGGGCCGCGGGUAGCCCGUUUAAUUUAUAACUGUCACUUAAUCGUCCAAUUCAGAUAUUGUAAGUAAGGCUUCGAUCAUGUAUCUCCUAUCUCUCUUUCUUCUUCCUGAAUUAAUUGCUUUCCACUUGGAUCCUUCGUUUAAAUUAACCCCUCUCUCGCCUAUUACUCUGAGGUCUCCAUAGGAAAACAACUCAAGGUCUUUUGCCAUCAUCCAAUUCGGAUCCAAAAAAAAUAUUUUCACGUAUCGUACCUGUUUGUAUCCAUGCUGUUUGAGAAACAUAUCCAAACUUCCCAUGAACAUCAAUCUAUAAUUCAAAAUAGGUAAUAAGAAAGUGAUCUAUAACAAAACUAAUAUUAAAAAAGGGAUAAUUCACUACAUUAAGUUGAAUUAUAUGAUAUGACAUUAGAAACUUACAGUUACCUUAGUUUUAUAAACUUCUCCAAGAAUUGUUGUUAAUAGUGUUGAUUUUCCUGAGCCAACUUCUCCACAAAUGGCCACCGAGCAACAUGGAUGCCAUUACAAUUUAAGAACAAACUUAAUGGAUGCCACUGCAAUUUUUAAUCUUAAGCAUCCGCCGGUAGGUAAUUUUUAGUGUAAUAUUUUAUUUUUAAAUUAAAAGCUUUAGGUAACCGGACUGGCCCGAAAGCCCAUAGCCCGCAAAGGGUCGGACUUAGUCAAAUAUUUUUGAGCUCGUUUAUCUUCCGGACGUUUUUGGCCCGGCACGCAAAAGUCUGAGCCCGUCAUGGGCGGGUUCGUCACGGGCCGGUUAGUCCGUUUUGACAGCUCUACCGUCAGUGACUAGGCCUCCACCAUCCGCCUUGUAACAUUUGUGAAAUUAAGGUUUUGAUUUUUGUGUUUAAAAGAAUAUUUGAGGUGAAUAUAACAUUAAUUCACGAUAUUUGGAGAUAUACUUAGUAGAAUUUUUAUUUAUUUAAAGAAGAUGAUGAAGAUUCAAAGGAAGAAGAUGAAGAUAAUGAACAACAUCAUCAUAUUUUUGGAUUUUUUUUUUCAUUUUUAAUAAAAGUAUAUUUUUAAAAAUAAAAUUAUGUAUUUUUUAAUAAAAAAUGAGAAAAUAGAUGUAUAUGUGCUUUUAAGAGAGAUAAAUGACCUAAACGGGAAAAAAUAAAGAUAAAGGACCGAAGUGUUACAAAUAAAAAAGAUAAAGGAUCCUUAAUGUAUCAUUGCCUUAAUUAUAUUUAGGUGUUCAAUCUUAAUUAAUUUACACUAAAGGACUGACUUAGAACAAUUAAAAUUUCACAUCAAAUUUCUUUCAUCUGAAUGUCCUUAAAUCUAUCAGUUAUAUUCAUAAAAUUUCUUCUUCCUAUUUUGAUUGUUCAAUUUUGUCGUUCCCAACUGCUGCAUUUUUCAAUUUUCAUGAGAAUCGUCGUCGUUCGUUUGAUUCCAAAUAUCGUAAGAAUUGUCGUUAUUUCCAGUACCACGUCAAGUAUGGUGACUUGAUUUUUCUUUUGAUUUCAUUUUUCUUGGUUGUGAGGUAGUUAAUUAUAACAAUUGAGUAAGUCAUCCGUUGUACUUUGAGGGUUGCUAGUAGGUGUUGCCGUUGUGAUGUUGUGGGAGUUUGCUGGAAUUUUUUUGGUUACUACUGAAAUGGUUAUGUGAUGAGGCUUUUGUUCUUUUGUUUGGAUUUAAAGGCUUUUGUUGAUAGUGAGGCAGGUCUAUGCGUGUUAGCAUAUUUUAUUAGGUUGGCUGUUUAAAUAAAAAAAAAAAAGUCACGAUACCUGACUCGGUUCUAGAAACAACGACAAAUUUUAUGGAAGAAUAAAAAAGAAGAAAUUUGAAUGAAGGAGAUUUUUUUUCUCACGUUCGGGGUUUUGGAAUGAAAGAAAUUUAAUGAAUGUAAAUGAUGAAUUUAAGGACAUCCAGAUGAAAGAAAUUUGAUGUAAAAAUUUAUUUGUUAUAAGUCUUGUAGUGUAAAUUAAUUAGGAUUGAACACCUUAAUAUUAAAAAAAAAAUCAUUUGUUGUUUAAAAAAAAGAAAUGAAAUAAAAAUUAAAAGUAUUAAAAGUUAUCUUAUGAUUAAGAUUAACUCUCCUUUAAAAAAAAAUUAAGAUUAACUAUUUUAUUUUUAGAAAAAAUUUACUUAUUUAUUUGACAUUUAAUGUUACCUAUGUAUAUUACAUUUUGAUUGGUUGAUAUCAUGAGAGGGUAAUUACCCUCUAAACAAGAGAGGGUAACGUAGGUCUCACCUCUAAACAUGCAUUUUUUUUUAAUAUCUAUCAUUGGCUAUCGUUAUAUUCAUUUACCACAUUUAUUCAUUCUCAAUAUCUUAUGUUCAUUUAAAAAAAAAAAAACAUUUAUUUGUUAAAUGGUAAGCAUGUCUUAUAAAUAUCAAUUCAUUCAUUUCUAAAAUAAAACCUGACUAAAAAUACAUAAGUAAGCAAAAUCAAUUUCAAAAUAAUAAAAUACAACAAAUUUAUUUAAUUUUAAUUUCAUCUUCAUUUAAAUCGGACAAUAAAUGAAGUGUUGCUUAUUAAACAAAUUUGCAUUCCACGUCUCAAUCUAAGCACUAAAUGAAGGGUAAAUUUUUUCAUAUAAGAUGAAUAGUGACGAACACAUAUGCAUUCUAAUAUAUUCUUUUGAACUUAAUUCUAAUGUCCUGCCAAAUAACCAGUUUCAAUUGAGAGAUCAAUAUGAUCAAACUCAAAACUACAUCUUAGAAAUGCAUUUUGUUUGUCACACUCAUCUUAUACGAAGGAAUUCGAUGUGAGAAUAUGUAUAGUUGAUUUAGUAAAAUACAAAAUGUGUUCUCUAAACAUUUUUUGAGUUUUUAAAGAUACUUACAAACUUACACUAAGUAUAGUUGAUUUAUCAUCGAGAACAUAUUCCUCACGUCGUCGAGAACAAACUCCAUAAACCAAUCAUUUUCUUACGACCCUUCCUUACCCAAAUUUCAUUAAUCCUUCCACCAAAGGGAAUAUUUUUUAUUUUUUUUUUAUAUUUAUCUCUAGAAAAAAGAUUUGAAGUAUAGGUGACACUACCUACAUUUUUUGACCACAACACCUCUUGCUACACCACCUUUUCUUCAUUCAACAAUCAUCACUUCCACUUAGCAAGGAGAACUAAAUUGAAAAUUUUCAAAUCCUUUAUCCCCAAAACCCCUCCUCCUUAGACUUACAAAUAUUUCCAACUUCACCCAAUGAACCUUUUUUAUUUGGAAUAAUUUUGAAUUUUCACAAUUUUCUACCACACCUUAUAUGACAUCUUAAAAUAAGAGAGAAAGAAAUUUGGCAUUGAAGUCAACACCAAAUUGAUAAGCACCACCCGUCCAAGGCUCGCAAAUCUACUUCUCCACCCACUAAACCUAUUCUCCAACGCAUAAUAUAAGAUAUUGUUUGAUCUGUUCCAAUAAAUAUUUUUAAAAUAUCAAAAUUUUAUAACUUUUUUAUUAUAGAUAAUUAAAUAAAUUAAUAAUUAAAAUUGUGUACUUCAUUUAUGAAUUGAGGAGUAGUCAUUGGUAUUCCCUCUAUCCCUUAUUAUAACUUUAUAACCCUUUUGAGGCUUUUGACUAAAUUCACACUUAUUAAGAAAAGUUGAUAGUGUUGUUCAUGUGUCUAGUUUGUGUGUAAAUUUUACUACAUUGUUAUUUGUUUGUAUGUGAAUUUGAUUUGACUUUUCAUAUUGUAAGACAUAUUAAUAGUAUUAAUUAGAAGCAUGCUUAAGAAAAAUAUAAUAAAUGCAUCUAAUAAUUUAUAUAGAGGUUCAUAUUCAAGGAUAAAAAUUUUCUUCAAAGGGGUUUAUAAUUAGGAAAGGUGUAACAUAUUAGCCCCAUUAAUUAAGAAUAAGAAGUGUUUAACUUUGAUUCCUCUGUAUCGGGGUAUGAGUGAGGAAAAGAUGUCAUUAAUAGUGAUUACUCUCCAAAUUUGUUUGAUCAGUAUUUAACAGAGGCAACGUUCCACAUUGUACAGAACAGACCCGUCUCUCUAAAAAGAGGCAUUGUUCGGUUCCUUUAUAAGCAAGCCACUCUCUCGUUGCACUGUCUAUUCAUUGAAACUUCUUUUUGUUCUUAUUUUAACACAGACCCAAGUUUCCUUUCAUUGACGUAAAAGGGUUGUUGGGUUGUGUUAUUUUGAAAUGGAACCAAGUUUUGAUUGUGUUGCAAGCCUUCUUUGCACCGAAGAAGAUAGCAGUGUUUUCGAUGAUGUUGAAUAUGGUGGUUCGAUGGAGGAUUACGAAGAUUUGUGGCAUCCUAGGAACGAACAACGCUCUGGUGGUGUCCCUAAUGAGUUGCACUUGCCAUUGCAGAGUGAAGAGUGUUUGGUUCUGAUGUUGGAAAAAGAAUGUCAACAAUGGCAUGGUGCUGAUUACUUGAAUAGGUUAAAGUUUGGAGAUUUGGAUUUUGGUGCAAGAAAUGAAGCCAUUGAUUGGAUUCAAAAGGUUCAAUCACAUUUCGGUUUUGGUCCGCUUUGUGUUUAUCUAUCCAUUAAUUACAUGGAUCGUUUCCUCUCUGCAUAUCAAUUCCCAGAGAGAAGAGAUUGGUCAAUGCAAUUGUUGGCUGUUGCUUGCUUAUCUUUGGCAGCCAAAGUAGACGAAACCGAUGUUCCUCGGAUUCUUGAAUUGCAGAUUGGUGAAUCCAAGUUUGUGUUUGAAGCAAAAACCAUUCAGAAAAUAGAGCUUCUGGUACUAACCACAUUGAAGUGGAGAAUGCAAGCAAUUACUCCUUUCUCCUUCAUUGAAUAUUUCCUUUCUAAGAUUAAUGAUGAUAAGAGUUCAUUGAAUAAUUCUAUAAUUUUGCAAUGUACUCAACUUAUAUCAAGCACCAUUAAAAGUCCUGACUUCUUGGAAUUCAAACCAUCAGAGAUUGCAGCAGCAGUGGCAACAUAUGUUGUAGAAGAAUUUCAAGCAAUUGAUAGUAGCAAAUCAAUUUCUACUCUGAUUCAAUACAUAGAAAAGGAGAGAUUAUUGAAGUGUGUUGAAAAGGUGCAAGAGAUGUGUAUUUUCACUGCCAAGGAUUCAAAUGCCUCUUCUGUCUCUAGUGUGCUUCAAAGCCCAAUGGGUAUGUUUGAUACAUUGCGCUUCCGCUACAAAUGUGAUGACAACAAUGCUGGUGUUGAUGCUAAGAGAAGGAAGCUAAACAAAAGAUGUGGAUUAGAGCUUCUGUAGUCAUGUUGCAUGGGAAUUUUACCAUAUUCCAUAAGGUUAUUGAUACUUAUAUAUAACGUAGAUUAUUAAUUAUGUAAAGAUAUAUUAUCAUUGUGUUCGAACGUAGUCGGUAGUAUGUUGUUAAUUAUUAAUUUUAAAUGUAGUUCGUAGUUUUAUGGAGUUAGAAAAUGGUGGUUUAGAAACUACUUUUUCUUUUAAUUAUUAGCAUUGUACAUGUAAAUAAAAGGAAAAGGAAGAAAUAAUUGAGAAAUGAAAUUCUCGUCUUUCUCUAUUAUUCUUAGGAGAGGCAUUCCUUUUUGAAUUGGAAUAAUUAUUACUGUUAUUUAUCAAAUCUUAUCAAUUGUGCUUUUAUCUUCGAACACCAUUUCAUUUUGGAACUCUAUUUCAUUUUCGAACUUUAUUUCAUCCAUAAAUUCAUUUUUUCUCAUACUGUUAAAUCAUAGAGGUACUUACAAGAAUGCAUGUCAUAUUGCAAAAAGAGAUUGAUGUAAUCAUCGAUUGUCGCAUCGAAAUCACCAAUCACUAUGGAGGCAAAGGAAAUUGACAUCUUGAGAUGUAUCUUGGUGUUAACAUUGUUCAACGAAUCCCUCAUCAUCAUACUGAUUUCCAUCCCUUCAAUUUUGUGAUAACUUUUGUAUAUUUCUUUUGGUGUUGAGCGGAAAUGGAGGAAUAACACUCCACUAUAGCAUACAAUAGGAUACAAUAUCGGAAAUGGAGGAAUAACAGAUUUAGGAUUGAAUUCUGAAUGGAUUGGAAACAAAUUUGAGAAUUAGGGUUUAUAUAUUGGGAACUUUUACGGGACACCUCACAAAUUGAGGUGUACCGGUACUCAUGCUUCACAUAUUUACAAUUUAAUGAUUAUUUUAUGAAAUAAAUAGUUAUUUAUCAAUAUUUAUAUUUUAUAAGACAUCAUUUUAUUAGAAUAAACAUCAUUUCAUUGUUUAUAAGAAUCAUAUUAAAUUUUUAACAUUUUCUCAUAAAAAAUAAUAAAUAUUCUUUGUUAUAUGUAACAAAAAUUCAAAAAAUGUAAAAUUUUAUUUCGGCAACUAAGAUCUAAUUAUUGUAAUUGUUAAUGAUAGAAAACAAUUCUUUUUCUUCGAAAAAACAACUCGUUUCAAUAUGAAUUUGAUGAUUUAGUGUACCGGUACACUCAAAUUUUUUAGUGUACCAUAGAAUUUGCCUUAUAUAUAUUUCUUUCAAUUUAAUUUCCAUUUUUCUUUCAAAUUGCUUUUGUUUUAAUUUAUGAAAUGUUUAAAUUGUUUUUUUAAAUUAAAAAUUGAUGUUUUAAUGACAUGUUAGUGUUAUAUUCCAAGUUGGCAAUGCCACAUAGGUGUUCAUUUGCCAUCUCAGCGUUUUUGGAGGGUAAAAUGGAGGUUAUGAUGAAAAUUGCAAAAAACAAGAUAGCAUAGGGGCAACUUUGUUCGAUUUAAAAAAGGCAUGACCAAUUUCGUGAGUUGGUUUAAAUACGAGAACCAAAAGUGCAAUUUAACCUAAUUUUUAUUAAUAAAAACAGUGAGUUUUCUUUUUGAAGGAAAAAUCAGUGAGUUAACUACGCAUACAGUUGAGAAUCCUAUUGAUGUCUGCAAAUUGUGGUAUCAGUUUCUUUUGUACAUGAUUCAAUAUUGCAAAUUGCUAUAUUAGUUUCUUUUUUACAAUUUUCUCCCGUUGGAACAUGCGUGGAAAUUGAGUAAAAAAGGCUAAACACAAAUUCUCAUGUUGGGUAGAACUAGUGUUGUGUGAAUUGAAAAAGUGGAAGUUCUACAUCGGAUGGAACACACACAUUUGUAAUGUUUAUAUAGUGGGGGUGUACCUUUAAUGGGGGUACAUUCUUAAGUGAACGAAGUAAGCAUAAGAAAAAUUAUAUUUAGAUAUAUUUAUUAUUUGGAAAUGAUAAAUUAAAUAGUUAAUUUAAUCAUUAGAAAGUGUUUUCUUAGCCCCCAAGUUUUGCUAAAAUAUUUUGGAACACAAUCUAAAAUAUUUGGGUAAGCAAUCUAAUAUAUUUUAGUACAUGAUUAAUAUAUUUUGAUACUCAAUAAUAUAUUUAUGUACUGAAUAAUAUAUUUUUGUACUCAAUGUGAUAUAUUUUGAGACUCAAUUUGAGAUAUUUUUGUACUAGAUCUAAUAUGAGAAUUACUUUGCUCCCAAAGUUUCUCACUUAUUAGUUGUGAACUCUCUCUAUAAAUAGAGAGCUCACACAGUGCAUUCCAUACACCGAAAUUCACAAUUGAUGCUUGUUUUUCUUCUCUUCUUCCUCCUUAGACUUGUGUUGACAAGUCCUUCUCCUUUUUCUACUCUUUCUGUCCCUUCGGAAUUAAGAAUGUAUAGUCCCUAUCGAUUUAUUGUCCUUUCGAAAAUAAGAAUGAUCUUAAACAUAUAUAUUCUUCAUCUAUUCAUGGAGAAGUUAGAUGUUAGAAUGGUCGUAGCACCAUAUUUGAGUGGUUGAAGUACCAUAUUGAUAUUUGGAGAAGUUAAAAAUUAGAAUGGUGGUAAAACCAUAUUUGAGUGGUCUCAACACCAUAGUAGAGUGGUCACAAUACCAUAUUGGUUUCAAUAUUAAAGAGUGGUUAUAGUACCAUAUUUGAUGGUGUUAUUUCUCGAACGAUUAUUUACGGUGCGAUACUUAAUCGAAGUGAAUUGGACUGUUUUAUCCUGGAGGCGCACAGUUGUUAGUCUACCUUGCACAAACUCGAGUAGUGUCAUGAAACGUCUUAAAGAAAGCGACCUGCGACCUGGCCGUGACUCAACCUGGUACUUCAAGAAGACUCAACAUGGUAAUACCUUCAAUGAUGAUUUCGAUUUUAUUAAAAAGUACGUUUCUGACCCCGAAUUACAACAUCACCUCCCCUCAAUUUUGGAGUUUGUUUUUGCCAAUGAUACAUUAUAACUGAUGUGGCUUGAAUUGAAGGAAAUUUUCAUUUAGGCAAUGCACAAAAUAUAAGCAAAAAGAUUCAACAUUUGCAUCAUUACUGCAAUAUUGUUUAAGCAUACACAUGAAAAAAAAGGGUUCAACAUUAUAUUGCUACAAACUGCAGCUACAAAAUAUAAGCAAAAACAUUUUGUUGAUCAAAACUGCGGUUACAAAAUAUAAGCAACAACAUUCCGCUGCUACAAACUGCGGCUGCAAAAUAUAAGCUACGACAUUCUGCUGCUAGAAACCGCGACUACAAGAGAGCCUUCUCGGCAAGCUGAAACCAAACACGUAAACAAGAACAAGUUGCUGCUCAAAACAUAAGUUGCUGCUACAAGUGAACCUUCUCGGCAAGCUGAAACCAAAACCAGAGAACAAAAGCUGCUGCAAAACAUAUAAGCUGACACCAAAACCAGAAAACACAAGCUGCUGCAAAACAUCGUUACUAAGAUGAUUUUCUCCAACCCUUCAACAUCCUAAAAAAUAACAGGAAGAAAAAAGCAACCAAAAUUUGUCAGUAUAAACAUUAAAUAAGCUUGUGCAUUAACAAAAUAAAUACCUCAAAUAUAAAAAUUAAAAAAAAAAUAAAAAAAACUUACUUAUUGGGAGAUUGAGAAGGUAAUGCUUCAAUAUUUUUCUUUUUAUUUGGACAAUUCCUCGAGUCAUGAUCAGUUCCACCACAAUUUGGAACAUGACAAUGCCGAGGCUUCUAUGCAAUUUCAACUCCUCCUUUUAGCCUUGAUCCUUUUGACCGACCUUUUGUUUUUGAAGGUAAAGGAUUUCCAGCAUUCAAUUCAUCAUUAUCUGGAACCAUAGAAUCAACACCCACCAACUUUUCUUGGAUUUCAGGCAUGGAUUUAAUCACUUGAAUGGCUUUCUCUAACUCUCUAGUUGCAGCUUGUUCUCGAUCUCUUGUCUUCGAGGAUUUUUCUAGACAUUGAAUUAAGGACCUAAACUUAACAAGGGAGCCACCAUUGUAGUUAAUCAUAUGACUAGAUUUUGGAAUCAAUGAACUUUCCAACUAAGAGGAAGAUACUUGGAAGGGGGGGUAAAAUAAUUUUUCAUCACAAGCACUCGAAAAGCAUGUCUAUAUAAUAUCCCAGAAAAUUCAAAUUCCUUGCAAGAACAAUGGAUUGAUUCAUUUUCUUGUAUCCAACUUACAAAGCGUCCUCCGUCAAUUUUGGUAUGAUGUCGCACAAUAUAUACACUAUUAUUAGUUUCAGUUGCCGCAUAUUUUGUAGACAACUCAAUCUCAUGUUGAAUCAACUUAAAGGCAUAAGGUGUAAGAAUAGAUGCUUCAUGUUCCUCAUUAUGAAAACAUGUUCUAAUACGAGGAUUGUGGUACUUUUGGCGCAUUCUUGCUUCUUCUCCAGCUUGAUUUCUAAUGUUAACAGCAACCCCAACCUACACAACAAUAUAUUUGUGAGAGUUAACUUAAAAUCAGAAAUCUGGAGAAUCGUGCCACGAUGGAGAAGCAUCACGCCACGAUUGUUGAAGCAAGAUUCUGAGGAAGCUACUGGAAAUUUCGUGCCACGAUGAAUCCGUAACGUGGCACGAUGGCAUUGCUGAAGAUAAAAAUAAAACGUAUUUUCAGUGAAGAUUUGUUUCAGUUUUUUAAGGGGUUACUUUCCACUAUAAAUAUAAGCUUUGUAUCAUAUGAUAAAGUGUGUAGAAAAACAGGGUUUAGAAACCAACAUUCAAACUAGGGUUUAUAGAGAAUUUCUCUUUGCAACAACACUAGGGUUGGGAUUGUUUUGAUUCACCUUGAACAAAGCACUAUUAGGAUUGAGUCUCUUGGUCACGGGAAGAGGCUGGGACUUGGGUAGAAUUAGGUUUGAAGACUGAUUCUUGUAACUCAAUAUCUCUUUGUAAAGAAACUCAUAUCAUUAUAGUGGAACGGAGGGCUGCUCUCUCCCCAGACUAGGUCAUCAUUAGACCGAACUGGGUAAACAAAUUAUUGUGUUCUCUUUCUUCCUUUUAUCUCUUGCUGUUUACUUUUGUUUGGAUUAUUUGCUACCCGCUUGAUUUGCUUCACGCAUCAAGUUUUUAUUGGUGUGGUUUUCUCAACGAAUUCAUAACAAUAUUAAUUAUAAGUAAAUUAAAACUAAUAUAUCCAAGUAUCUUACUAGAGAAAAAUUAAUUUAACUCAAUUAAUUUCUUACUUGAUUUAUGAAAUCAGUAAGACUUGUUUUGGCUCCCAAGAAUCUUUUUACAUAAUAUGAAUUUAUAGAUUCUGAACGUCCAGUUGUAGUCAUUUCAGCAAAAAAGAAGUCCUUCAAAUAAGCUAGUGCCCAAAAUUGACGAAGCGAAUAAAGCAAGUCAAUAUGGUUAUCCAUGCUAAGACAAAACUGUUCAACCAUCAAUUUCCAUUCCCUCUCAAAAUCAUCUCCACAUUCUAAAUGGUAUAAUCGAUAAAAACUCAUCUUUAAAAUCAUUAUAUCUCGACCCUAAUGGAAGAGAAAACCAAGUUGAUAACUUUGCCAGGAAACUAAUGUUCCUCCGAAUUUUGAUUUGCAGAUUAGUGAAUCCAAGUUUGUGUUUGAAGGUAAAACCAUUCAGAAAAUGGAGCUUCUAGUACUGAGCAUUAGGGGUGUUUGCGGUGCAGUUUGGUUUAGUUUUGAGCAUAAAAGUCAUCCAAACCGCGAGAUAAAAAAACAUGCGGUUUGGUUUGGUUCGAUUAGUGCGGUUUAUCGCGAGAUAAAAAAAAAAAUUCCAUUAACUCUAAUAUUGCCAACUUGUUACAAAAUAAACAUAGGACGUUUUAUUUUGUUGUUAAAUUUACAUGAUAAAAUAUGACUAUACCUGAAUUGCAUAAAUCCUAAACUUUUAUUUUCAAUACCAACAAUAUAACGUUCUUCCUUAAUAUAAUUGCAUAGAUCCUAAACUCAUCACAACAUAUAUAGACAAUACAUAAAGUUACAUGCAAAUUAUAACUAACCAGAUUAAAAUCAAACAAAACUUAUAUCAAAAUAGGUAAAAUUAAGAAGAAACAUAAGCAUGAAACAAAUUAUUGGAAAGAAAAGGAAACAAAUUCAUCACUGGAAAUGAAUUGAAGGAGAUGGAAAUGAAUUAGAAUCGAAACUGAUGGUGCAACAAUGAAAAAGUCGAAUAAAAAAAAAAUUAUUCUUGAGUUAUGUAAUUGGGCUAAUACAAGUUUAAGUAAUAUUGAUUAUUCUUGCGGUUUGGUUCGGUUGCUGAGAUGCAAACCGCAAACCGAACUGAACCAUGUGGUUCAGUGAAAAGUCAUCUGAAUUCAUCCGAACCAAGUGCGGUUUUUUGCAGUUUCGGUCUGGAUUGGUUUGGUUUGCGGUUUUUCUAUUGGGUUGGUUCGGUUUUGAACACCCCUACUGAGCACAUUGAAGUGGAGAAUGCAAGCAAUUACUCCUUUCUCCUUCAUUGAAUUUUCCUUUCUAAGUGAUAUGGACACCUUUAGAGGUGAGAAUUCUUGAAGUAAACUAUUUAUUUAUAAAAGGUCUCAAUUGUUAGUUUAAGAUUUUUAUUUUGAUUAGUAAAAUAAAUAACAAAAAUAAAAAAAUGCCAAUGAUUUUGAUUUUGAUUUGUUUUAUGAAAAAUAAAACAAAUUCCACAUCAUUAGUCAUUUAGACUACUCUAUUGGAUGGUGGGUAUCGAUGAAAAUUGCUUUUUUGAUAUGGAAUACUUCUUGUUGACACAAGUAAUUUAUCAAAAAGCCUCCAGCGAUAGUUAACUACCGUUGGAAAAACCGUCGGUAGUUAACUGCCGCUGGACCCAGCGGCAGUUAACAACACAAGUAAGUUACAAGUUCAAAACAACACAAACCAAACUUCAACCCAACUUCACCCCACCUUCAAUUGCACGGAUUUGAGCCAAAUUUCUUCAAGUAAUUAACAAGUAAGUUAUUUUAUUUCUAUUUACAUGCAAUGUAGUUUGUUUAGGGUGUUAUUUUCAUAAUUUUAGCAAAAUGUUAGUGUUUAGGUUAGGUUUAAAAAUUGCAAAUUAUGUUAGAAUUUGAUGUUAUAAUGUUUGUUUUUUGCUGGCAUUGUUGUUUAGAGUAGGUUUAAGUACAAUGCAGUUGAAUUUGAUAUUGAAUUAACACUAAUUGUGCUAGUAUUUUGAAAUGCACUUAAGGUGUUUGAUGAAAUUCCUAAGUGAAAUGACCUUGCUUUUUUUGUGAUUUUUUUUUCCAAAUAUGUUAAAUCUUAUAAUGUAUAUAUGUUAUAAUUAUUAUAAGCUUGGAUUUUUAAAAAUUUUUGGCAAGUUUGAAGAAUGACAUAAUGUGGUAUGUUAUAUAAAUGCCUAAGUUGUUGAAUGAUUCUAACUGUGGAUUUGUAUGAAUGCCUAAGUUUCAUUUUUGAUAUGUUACAUGUUAUUUGGUUGGAUUUUUAUGCUAUGUUAAAUGCCUUAAAAGUAUAUAGUUUUUAAGAAAAUGUUGAAAUACAUUGUAUUCUUAAAUACAUUGUCCACUUAUUUGUGUUUUUUUAAAUUUGUUUUGAACAGGUAUGGCUAGGGACGAGGAUGAUCGGCAACAGGUUAUUAGAGAGGAUAGGAUGCGCAAAGGCAAAGCGGCGAGUACCGCUAGCGCUCGAAAGGAAAAGGUGGACCAAAACCCGUAUGUCCCGAAAACUUGGAAGCGGAGGGAUGCGAUGCCAGGUGUAGAGAGCUCACAACCACAUAUGGAUUACUCCUCCCAGGUGGUUGAUCCGACACAGACGUAUGAGUAUGCGAAGGGAUUUCAGGGAUAAGAUCGGAUGGAGGAUGAUAUAAUGUUUUAUCAGCCGCAGGACAAGGCGGAGGAUGAGGAGGUGGCAGGUGAUGAGGAGGUGCCAGAGGAUGUUGUGGCAGAUUAUAUGGAGGCAGAGAAUGUUAUUCCUGAGGGUGAACCUGAGCCUCGGCCUCAGCGACGACGACGUCGUGUUCCACCGAUACCGCCAUAUCCUGUUAGAGAACCUCCCUAUCCUGGAGGACCGUAUACCACGUCACUGUUGACCGACUAUGCGAGGCACGUGGCGAACCCUCUUUGGGUGAACCAUCAUAAUGUAAGUGUUUAAAUUAUUUAAAAUUCUUUAAGUGAUUAUUUAAAAUAAUGUAGCGUAAAUGUUAUAAUUAUUUAAAAUAAUGUAGCGUAAAUGUUUAAAUUAUUUAAAAGAAUGUAACGUAAAGGGUUUUAAUUAUAAUAUUAUGUAGCGUAAGUGUUUUAAUUAUUUUAUAUUAUGUAGCGUAAAUGUUUUAAUUAUUUAAAAGAAUGUAGCAUUAGUGUUUUAAUUAUAAUAUUAUGUAGCGUAAGAGUUUUAAUUUUAAUAUUAUGUAGAGUAAGUAUUUUAAUUAUUUUAUAUUAUAUAGCAUAAGUGUUUUAAUUAUUUAAAAGAAUGUAGUGUUAGUGUUUUAAUUAUAUAAUAUAGUGACAAUGUCUUAAUUAAUUUCAAUUUCAGAUGUGGCAUGAUCAGACGGAUUACAAGUGUAUAAAUGCAGGGGAAAAGAUGAAAGAGCUUGGUAAGCCGGAGGCGGGUUUGAGGUGGUUUUGGGAGCCUGUGGAGGGGUCUGGCCUGCAUGAUUUGAUAUACACGGGAUGUUCUAGUGUCACCCAUGCCAUAAUACGUGUUAUGUGCGAGAGAUGGCACAUGGAGACCAGUAGUUUUCAUCUACCUGUGAGGGAGAUGAACGAUCACUGUAAUAUUUACCAGAACUCCCAUCGAUAACUGCUUUUCCAAUAAUAGAAGUUUCCGGUUCUUUUCUGCGAUUAUAUAUUUUUGACUGCCCCAGUUUAAUUGACACAAAAUGCUGUUAUAGAAUGGCUUUUUCUUGGAUGGUACAACUCCUGCAGGUGCCUCCUCCCUCUUUUUUCCUUUUGUCUAUAUCUCUGUUUAUGUGAUUCAACUAAUAUAUAACAAAUUAUUUAUCUGGUACCAGGUGCAUGUGAAAUCCGAUCUCCCAAAGUGUUUCAUUGAUAUUAUUAUUCCUAGAACUCAAAUUCCAAUGUGGUGCAAUACACAAAAUGUGGGUAGUUCAAUAAGGAUGGAUCCAUCACCUAGCACGGGUGACAAGAACUUAACAUUUGUAGCACAUGAUGAUCCAAAUAGUUUAGGUGAAGGAAUAAAUUUUAAAUCUUCAACAUCGCAUUAUGAUAUUAGUUGUCUUGAAUUGGCAGCUGAUGUUUGGCAAGUCCCCGGUUUGCAUUUUGAGGUAAAGAACUGUGGUUACAGAUGGAUAUUUGAGGAGGAUCUGGAGCAAUUAAACCCACAAAGUGGAAAUUCAUCAGUUCAAAACAUGUAUCAAACAAACAAAUGAUCAGCCAUAUCAUUUAGCUGAUUAAUGAAAAUCCCAGAAAUUCAAUAGAAUCCUAUAAUAAAUAAAUAAAACGCUUUUGCAUUUUAAAUAUGAUAAUAAGCUGAUUUUUUGUCAGUUCUCUUUUUAUACUAUAGUCAAUAUUGAACAUGCUUGAUCAUUGAUACGCUUUUUAAUUAUUUUUUCAUUCUUUAAAAACACUAAAUUACAAAGUCACCAUUGGUCUUUAUUGGGUUGGGUCUUCUUAUUAAUUUCAUUGUUAAGUUAGUGAAAUGAAGACCUACCUAUUCCUACCUACACUUUUCUAAGCGUGAGGCAAAUUUUAAGAGUUAGAGAUGAUAUUGCUCUAAAGAGAAAAAUACACCGACCUCUUUUUUUUUGUUUUUUUUUAUUUUUAUGUUAAAUCAUAACCAAGAAAUUUUUGGAAUUUAUUUGUUUAUAACUUAAAUCUAUUUCAAGUCCUAAUAAGAUGUUUUUGUUGUUGUCAAUAUCCUAAAUUCCUAAUGUAUUUUUUUAAUGUCAGACUUCGUAGGAAGAAUUAAACCUAUGACAUCUUUAUUAAUCAUUUACUCCAAUUCUUAUGUCCAUUUCAAUUCAACAGCCAUGGAAACCUAACCAGUUUCAAUUCAACAAUGAUUUUCUACCAUAAAAUUGGGAAAUGUACGUUCUAUUUUGCACUCACUUUGUACCUCAUGUGUGCCUGAGAUAAACAAGAGAGGCAUGAUCACUUCUAAUGCAGCACUACAAACCAAUUCUAACUCCUAAUAUGGUUGGUCUUUUAGGAAGCUUUGUUAAAUAUUAACCUAUAUAGGAGUGUUCUCAAAAGGACCAUGUAACAAAAUAUUAACCUAUAUUUUAACAAUUGCAUAGAGCAUGUAACAAAAUCAAGUUAAAAAAGAAAAACGUAUACUAUUUCUAAACUAAAUGUAAGAGUUAAAGCUAGCUAGCAUUAAUACAUGAAGCAAGACUAUUAGGAAAAGUUUCAUUUCAUAUAUACCAAAUGUAAAACUCAGCAACAACCUCUAAAUCCAACAGCUAUAUAUUGAUAACAGAAUUUCAAAAUUAAUGCAAUCAGAAGGCACCACCGCCAAAAACCUGCAAAACCAUAUGCAGAGUAGAUUCCUUCUGGAUAUUAUAAUGAGCUAGAGUAUAACUAUCUUUAAGCUGCUUUCCAGCAAUCACAACCCUCACUUGGUCAAGUGGAAUACCUACUUUCUCCUCGAGAGUGAGUUUCACAUCAGCUAUUGUAUCUGAACUCUCUACAUCCAAUGUUAUUGUCUUUCCUGUCAAAGUAUUCACAAAUAUUUGCAUUCCACCUCUCAAUCUAAGCACCAAAUGAAGGGUGGACUCCUUUUGAAUGUUGUAAUCGCCAAGUGUGCGCCCGUCUUCCAAUUGCUUACCGGCGAAGAUAAGCCUUUGUUGAUCGGGAGGGAUACCCUCCUUGUCUUGAAUCUUAGCUUUCACAUUAUCAAUAGUAUCUGAACUCUCAACCUCCAAAGUAAUAGUCUUUCCAGUCAAAGUCUUAACAAAUAUCUGCAUUCCACCUCUCAAUCUAAGCACCAAAUGAAGGGUAGAUUCCUUCUGGAUGUUAUAAUCAGCUAG